CAAAUGCAACUACAAGAAAUAUUGACCAUAGCAAUGUUCCAUCGAGCAAUCUACAUUCAUUUCUUUCUUUCAACAUUCUCAAACAAGAAGAUAGUAGCCGCAGAUACAAAGAUACUCAGAACCUUACUUUUUGGACGGAAAAGUGGCCGUGUUAUGGUCCUCCAUGAAUCUGUAUAAACAAUCAUCACAAGAUAAGUAUGAUUGCAGUUAUUUACAGUUUCAAUAAGUUUUCACAAAUAGAUUAAGUGAGAAUUAGAAUAGUUAAUACAACAACUAUCUUCAAAAUUCAGCAGUAAUGACUGUGAGGAGCUUACUCUUUAAACAUUUGCUUCUCUUCCCAGUUAGCUAGGCUUUCCAAGUUAACCUAAGAGCAAUGUAACAUCAAAAUAAUAUGAUUAGCAUAAAUACAACUAUGUAAGCAGUCGGAUCCUAAAUCUUCCCACCUUGCCACCUUAGUAAACUUUUAUAUUCAAUCCAAAACAUAGGCAUACUACUUAAAGUAAUUUAAGUCCCCAAAACAGCAAAAAUGGGUUAACUGGAUUGAGUAUUGGAAGUCUUCUUCCAUUCCUAGACGUUGAAGUACCAUGAAAAAUUAACUUGGUUCUAGUGAACUCAAAUCCAUACACUGAAGAGAUGAAACACUAGGGUUGGCUCCAUCGUAAUGAAAGCAUGAAGUGCGUUAGAAAUGAAGGACAUUCAAGUAUUGCAUAAAACUAUUCCACACUUUGUAGUUGCAACAGAACAGCAAGACAAUGGCACAGCUUACAAAUGUCAUAAAUUAGCAUUAUUGAGCUAAUGGAAAUAUAAUUGGGCAUAAAUCAGUUUACCUUUUUUAUUUCAGCCAACCAUGCAGUGAACUCUGGUCGCUUGUUCCUGAAAAAAAGUUGGUAAGAUCAAAUUCAAGAAACCAAGAAGCAGUAUAGAAACUCUUACACGGUAUAACAAAAAUCAGGUUCAGUUGAUUACAUUACAUGCACAGAGAUUCAUCAAAGCCAAGAAGUUAAGCAAAAAGGAAGAUAUAAACCAAAAUUUGUGCAGUAAGCAAACAGAAACAUCCAUGGAAUUCAAUAGUGACAUACCACAUAUCAGUUUCUUUGAUAAUCCCGAACUUUCCCCAAGAAUUGGUCACUGCCCCUUUCUUUCCUCGUUCCUUCUUCUCCUUCUUUUUCUUCUCCUUCCUUCGUUUCUCUUCCUCUUUCUCUUUUUUCAUCCUCUUCUUCUCCUUCUCUUUUCUCCUCCUCUUCCGCUCUCUCUCUUUCUCUCUUCUCCUCCUCCUUUCCUUCCUCUUCCUCUUCCUCCUCUCCCCCUCGCUCUCGCUAUCCUCUUCCGAACCCGAACUACUUGAAGCUGAUUCAGAGUCCGAAUGCCCCGAAUCCGAAUCAUACAUCGAGCUAUCAGAUUCAGUAUUUUCAGAAUCAGAAUCCUCCUCACUAGUACUGUAUCGUCUACGGGAUUUCCCCUUUCUUCUCGAACUCCUCCCACGUCUCUUGCCAUGCUUCUCAUCGGAAUCCGGAGUUUCCCGCGAUUUUCUUCUUGAUUUGGUGCGUUUUCGUCCUUCGUCUGCAUCAGGACCGGAAUUUUCACGAUCUUUCUCGGAAUCCUUACCGGAGAUUCUCUUUGAAGGAGCACUGUUGUCUUCUCCUACUUGUUCGCCGGGUUCGUCGUUGUCGGAACUUCCUCUCUUAGUAGAUAGCUCGCCAUUACGAUCUCUCGCCAUUUUAGUUGGGGGUUAGAGAAUGAUUUUGAAGCGAGGUUCGAACAAAGAAGAAAGAAAGAUGGGAAAUGAGAAUCGAACUCAAAAGCCGCGAGACGCAUGAUUCUGUUUUAGGAAUAGGCAACGGAUCAUCCGAACGAUGGGCCGUCUCUCUUCGGCUCCAGAGGAAGCCCAAAGCUGCAUUGUGUAUACUCUAUACAUUACUCACAGACUUUGUUGUUCUUUGUUGAGAAAUUUAGAGAAUUCAUCACCUAAACUAGCCAAGAUAUUUUCCAAAUUUCUUAAAUUCUCAAUUAUUUUUACUCAUAAUAUUUAUUAAAUUUUUUCGACAAUUUGAACUUUUAUAUAUAUAUAUAUAUAUAUACGAAAAUUGAUAUAUUUAUUUACCAUAAAUAUUUUGAGAAUGCAAUGUUGCAUUCUUUUCGCUACUUGCUUAGUUAAAUAUGGUUAUCCCGGGCUUGGUGAUUACAAUCUAUACAUUUGCCCUUCUUUCGAAUGAAUAAUAUUAAGAUGCUCACCUUUAACUUAGCAAAAAUCUUGCGUCAUCCAUUAUAACUUUCUUAGCAUUGAAUACAUCAUUCAUUACUACUUAGCUAAUCAAUCAAAUUGAUAUAGGCAGAUAAGAAAAAUGGGAGAAUGGAAGAAGAAAUGCAUUACUUUUAUAAAUAACACUUUUAAACCUUUCAACCAUGAAGUUCUCCUUGCAAAACAACACAAUAUAAGAAAUAAAAAGUGAAAAUAUACCAUGAAGUUCUGAUUUCUCAUACUCCUUGGCUUUAAUUUUUGCCUAUAGAUGAGGAAAACAAUAGAGGGGUGAAUCUCUCUCUCUUUUGCUUUAAGCUCUCAUCUAAAACUUAAGGUAAGGGAGAAGAAUGGAUGAUCUGAAGAGCUUACUCCGGUAAAAAUUGUAGAGUUCAUUUUGGAGUGAGAAACUCCAUUUAUACAAAGGAGUGUGAUGUUGACAUGCCGGAACGCGCCAUUAAGAUCUCUGAAAAGUUAUAGUUAUGUUGUGCAGUCUGUCUCAUAAGUCAUUUUCAGAAUUUCUCUCUAUAAAUGUUUUGUUUGCUAGCGGCUUGAUCACCUAGCAACUACUUCCCUACCCUGGAGAGGUUGGUUGGGUCUCUUUGUGCUUAACGAGCUAUGCACCGAGUUUUACUCUUCUUCUCCUAGUAUCUUGUGAUAAGAGCACCGAAACAUAAUAAAACAAGAAUGAAGUUCAUUUGCAUUAGGUUUUUCGCAAAGUAAUCAAAUCAACUACUUUUUCUCCCUAUUUUUUUUCUUUUUUAAUGCGAUAAGACUUCAUUAUUUUACUUAAAAUGCUACAACAACUUGUAGAAUACAAGUUAUUAGUUGGACAAGUGACGUAGAAUGUCACUGUGCCAAAAUGGUGACAAUCAAAAUCUAGAAGACAAUGACUUUUUAAGUUAUCUAAUAAAACGUCAAUUUACCAUUUAGCCUUUAACUAAAAUUUAAAACCUUAGAUUAUUAGAAGCGAUUAUCUUAUUUUGACAUCCUGGUCAUCCAAGUAUAGAAAUCACCUUGUCAUUUAGUUAGAGAGUUAACAAAAUACUAAUAGGGACCAAAAUGUUCUAUUUUUAAAAGUUAAGGGGCCAAAAUAGAACUUAAACUAUAAACUUUUAAAAUGUUAGAAUAAUUUUUAAACUUUCUAACUUCAAGUUGCGUAAACUUUAAAAUUGUCAAAUAAGUUUUUAAAAAAAACUUAGCGUUUUGUCUUUUGUUUUUUAUUUUUAAAAGUUAAGUCUAUAAAUGUCUCUUCUAUCUCUGAAUCUCUUGCUUUGAUAUCGAUUUUUAAUGAUGUUUUCAAAAAUCAAGUCAAAUUUUGAAAAUUAAAAAUAGUUUUUAAAAACUCGUUUUUGUUUAUAGAAUUUGUCGAAGAAUGCUACUCUUCUAAUUAAAAUUUAUACAAAUGAUGGUAAGAAAAAUAAAAGGAAAUAUGUUUAAUUUUUAAAAACAAAAUGAUUAACAAGCAAGACCUUAGAUCAUUGGAUAGAAGUUUGACCUAUUAAACAGUUUUAAGGGACGCAUUAAACACAUUAUAAUUAAUUAGUUGCAAAUUAGAUAUUUCCUCAAUUUGUUGAGAAAAUGGACAAAAGCCUGCAACUUGAAGUAAAAUAUGUUAUUUAACCAAUAUUUUAUCUUUUAUAAGAAUAUAUUACCUUAAACAUCAGCCUAAUUCAUCAACCCGUCAGCAGCUUAAAUGAUAGUUUUUUCAAGGGUACAAAAUCACCAGAAACAAUCUUCAAACCUGACCAUAAAUGCUUCACUUCAAUGAAAUAUCUUACAUAUACAUUUCUAGUUCCUAGAUUCACAACAAGCUCAAAACUUCAUUGUACAGAUUCUUAAUCAACGUUGUGAUUUAAUAUGAGAAGUAUAAAUCACUUCACCUCUAAUUCGUCCUUUGAUAUUCCAUCGUCGUUUGCCAUGAUUUCUAAAAGCUCAUCCAAGGCAUUAUUUAGUUUUUCAUCCAUGGAAGGUACAGUCUUCAAUGAGCUCAUAAACUCUUUCAUCUCUUCAUAUCUUCUAUUUUCAGAUAGCCAUCUCAGGAUGCUUGAUAAAACAUUAGGUUUGGGCCUCCAAACUUUAUUUUGCCCUUUCACAGCAAGCGCUUCUUUCAUGCACUCAAAAGCUUUCUCUAGGUUCUGCUUUUCCAAGUACCCAGAUGCAAUAAUGCCCCAACUAUUUGGUGAUGGGAUCAUCCCAUUUACGAUGAUGUUUCGAAGCAUCUUUUCAGCUUUCUCAAUUAAACCCUUCUGCGAAUACCCAAUAAGAACGACAUUCGGUACUCGAAAAUCAUAACAUUGGCAAGAUGACUCCCAUUCCAUGACCAGAUUCUCAGCUUCCUCGAGCAACUCCAACUUUACCAAAGAACCCAACAUGGUUAUAUAAUCCCUAUUGAGUUGCUUCUUACCCUUCUUCAGAAGAGCCCACAAUCUCAUUACUUCAUUCUUAUGUCCCAGAUUGGUGUAGUGUGAAAUGAGAUGAUUGAAGCCAAGUGCGUCUUCAUCAACCUUGUCCUCACAUUUCCGAAGAUAAUUCAUUGCUUUGUCAUGCAUACCAGCUUUUAUGAAAAAACCGGCAACCAUUGAAUAAGUAGUCCAAUCCAUGGAUAUGUGAGUUUGACCCUCCAUUUCUUUCAAAACGUUUUCCAUACUGAUUACAUCAGACCUAGCUCCAUAAGAACUGAUACAAAUUCUAUAGCUAAAAUUGUCAGGAAGAACACCAUUCUCCUUCAUUUCGGAAAGUACAUUUGGAACUUUAUCGGCCUGGCCAGUGUUCAAAUAUAGACACAUUAUAUCAUUGUAGCAGAGGGGAGAGGAAGCAAGACCCAUCUCCUUCAUCUUCUGCAUAUGAGCAAGGGACUUAUCUAUAAGGCCUUCCCUGACAUAACAAUUUAGAAGAGCACCAUAGAGUUUACCAAUUUCCUUUUGGUUGGAAACACUCCCAAAAUACUUCUCUGCAGAAUCCAAUCCCCGAACUUGGCCAAUCAGAUCGAGCUGGAUGGCAAAGUCUCUUGUUGUGAGGGAAAAAAGUCCCUUGCUACACAUCCAUUCAGACACCUUCAAUUUGAACAGUCCAAGAGAAAGACAAAGAUCAAUCAUCCAUAACAGUAUAAUACUAUAGAUAAUCUAGGACUGAUGAAACACCAAAUGCGAUAAGACAGCUUAGGGUAUAAGUAUCAACCUAGUACUAAGCUAACCACAAGAAUUCAACAAUGGUUAUUACUCAACAUAAAAUUUUCUAUCCUCUAGAGCCACAAUGUAAUGAAGGUGAGUGUAAAAACAUAAUUAGCUUAACUACUUGUGAUUACUUCAAAGUUUAAAUUUCCAGCAACCAAUCAAAGCAUUAUGAGAACGAAAAAGGAUUGGAGAUUACUCUACGGCCAUCAUUAAUUCAUUCAAUAAACCAGAAGAAUUUUGCUUCAUCCAACAGACAUGAGACAUCAUAUACAAUACAAGCAUUCCUUUCACGGGAAAUUAGGGUGUCUUUUCAAUUGCGCUCACCUCAAGGGCUUGGCGAUACCGCCGGCAAGUGCGAAGGUCACGAACGAUUCUUCGGAGCUCAAAGUCCUUGAUGUUCCUGCCUUCCUCAAUCCAUUGAUUGAGAACCGGAACUACAGUACACUCAGGAUCACCGAGAGGACUAAUCCUCGCAUAGAGGUUUCUUCGAUCGCAGCUUCGUCUCGUACUGUAUAAUCUCAACGCCACAAAACAGAAUGCAUCUGUUUCUGGUCUCAGCGUUCUCGUGCAACCUGAAGAAGACCUGCUCAAGAUUUUGAACAUUGCCGAGGCAGCGGCCAUGGCCGGAGCUUUUUUAAGCUCUCACCUCAUUGUUUAAAAAGGAAUGAGCGAAUUUGAAGGGAGUUUAAUUGGAGGAAAAUUGUAAUUAAAAAAGAAAAAUUAGGUAAGACAAAGUUAAACUUGAAAAAAUUAGUUAAAUCAAACGUUUUUUUUCCAUCUUAUUGGAAACGUAUAUGGUGUAAGGGCUUAUUUGUAUUAGAAAAAAUAUAUAUUUUUAGAAAACAAUUCAUUUUUAUUUAAAUUCGAGGGACAAUUUUAAGCCUAAGAAAACAAAGAAAACAAAUAAAGAAAAAGAACAUUUUUAAAAUAGCAAAAUAAAUUAAAAUAUUUAUAAACUAUAACAAAAUUUUGGAUUUUAUAUCAAUUAUAGUAUUCAUAUCAAUGAUUAUCAGUAUAUAAUUUGUCAUGUGUUGUAAAUAUUUUGUAAAAUUUAUUAUUUUUAAAAAUCCCUCUAAAAGACCUAUUCAUAGCUCAGUUUUGAGUGGUUUAUUGUGAUAGACUUGAUGAAGCAAUAAACGUGUUGUGAAGGUGUGGUCGCCUUCUAUAAAAAAAGUUUAAGAUCUUUUUCUAAAUCUUUCACCUGAUUUGAGGUUCUAUGUGCAUGACCUUAAAUAUCAUAAUUUUUAGUGAUUUAUUGUGAUAGACUUUAUUGUGAAAUCAAUAAUGAAAAUUUAAGAAGUAAAAUGUGUUGCGGGGUCUCAACCGUUGUUAUCGAAAGUUCGAAAGGUAACUUACUUUUGACUCAUCUUACCAUGCAUCAAUUCAAAUUGAAAGAUAUUGAUGUUUAAGUUUAUACUACUUCUUUCUUUGCUCAGAUAAAAUCUUUCCUUACUAUUUUAACUAGAAUGCAAUGAUAGUCAUUCACAUGGAUUGUUGAAAAUGAUCAUCGUUAUACUUUUUAUAAUUGAUGUUUCAAUUGAAAAUUAAUAAUAAUUAUUAUUUGAUUUAUUUUACAAUUCUAAUAAUUAUUCUUUAUAUAUAUAUAUAUAUUUUGUAAAGAAAAGUUUUUUUUAGGGUUCAGUUAUUCUUCUUGCCAAAAACUCUAUUCUUUCCUCUCAGCAAUCAUUUUUUAUUUUGAUUCCACUUCUAACUCCGACGAGUGCACGUAAGAGUUAGGAAGUUGUGUUAACCUUGGAGAGCAACCAACAUAUGUAGUUUAGUAUCAAGGUCGAGUCGAUUGCUUUCAAGACAGUGGUACACGACACAACUAAAUUUAACAAUGAUCUAACAUUUUUUUUAACACUCUUAAGUUAGGCAUGGGCAAAUGUGGGAAAUGAAGAAUGAGUUUCCUAUCUGCCAUAGUCAAUUUUAUAUGUGGCUGUCGAGGUAGAUUGUACUCAGUUUUUUGUGGUUUAAUGAGAAUUGUUUCUUUCCUUAGAAAAACACUUUGAGUUUGUUGAAGAUGUGUAUUUUUAUUUUAAGAAGUUUUAAAAAUUAUUUUUUUUCCAAAAAGUUAAUUUUGUUAAGGGUUUGUUUAGAAACCAUUUUGUUUUGUUUUUUCUUAAACGAACCAUAUUUACUCUCCAUGUGGUGGAUUGAUUUUCAUAUUUCUUAAAUACAAUGGUUGAAUUCUUAACCAAAUUCCAAAUUCCAAAAACAACUUUUUGAAAAUUUGAAAGCUACAUUUUUUGGAGUAUUGUUUGAUAACCCAUUUAUUUUAUUUUUUUCAUUUAUGAUAAUUAAUUAAUUUUUUUUUCAUUUUUGAUAAUUAAUUUUUAACAAACAACAUUCUCUUUUUUGAUUUUCAAACAAGAAACUUGUUUUUAAAACGAUGAAGAAAAACAAAAAUACUAAACAAAUAUAUAUUUUUUUAAAAAAAUAGAAAACAAAAUUAAUUAUCAAACGUAUAUAGCUUUUGUUUUUAAGAAAUAAAAUAUAAAAACAUAAACAAAAGUUGAAAUGGUUAUGAACAAUGUCUUAGUCUUUAAAUUUUGGUUUGAUUUUUUAAGCCAUUGUAGUAGUAGAUAACAAAAUUAGAAAGUUGGGGCGAAAGUAGUAUCUUUAGCCUUAAUUUUCAAAAAGAUUAAAAUAAAAUAUAAAACAAAAUUGUUAUGAAUAACAAAAAAAAAAAAAUGAAACUAUUUGAAAAAUAUUGCAAAAAAAACUUAAAUAAACUUGUGAGUGUUUCAAUAUUUUUGUUAUUUCUUAAAAUGUUUCGAUAUAAAAGGGUUAUCGAAACAAAACAAAAAAUAAACUUUUUUUUUUAAGUCAUUUCAAAUAUGCCACAAACCUUCGUGAAUAAUACAAAUAACAUAAAUCUUUAAUUAAUUAAUUCAUUCAAAACUAAUAUAAAAUAAAGCAAAUACACAUAACAAAAUCCACAACAUAAAUGAAGUUCUUCAAGGUGUAUUUAUAAACACUUAAAGAAGAUUGUUUUUCAUUGAUCACUGAUUAGAAAGAUGAAUAAAAUCGAAAUUAGUGUUAUAUAUAUAUAUAUAUUAAAUUUAAUUUACUUAUGACAUAUUAUGCGAUUGCUAUAGACUAAAAAUGGGAUGAUAAAAUUUUCCACAAGUACUCUUGAUUUCAAGAAAAACUUCAAUUCAAUUUCAACUUAUAGUAGAUAAAUUUGAACAACAAACAUGUAAAAAAGAAUGAUCCUGAUAUAGCAAGGAUAUAGCAAGUAACAAAGAUUACUCUUUGCUGAACUGGUGAAGUUGUGAAAAGAACCCUAGCUAGGAGAAUUGAACCAUGGACGAAAAUGUUUGUCCAAAUCUCCACGAGGAAGGAACAACGUUGACAAACUCCAAUGUUCUUCCAUCGAGUAAAGUGAGCUUAAAUGACAUUCUUUGAUUUCGAAGGUCGACGUUAGCUUGCCAAUUUGCUCCCCAAUUUCGGUGCAUGGGCGUCCACAUCCUCAUCUUCGAACCUUUUACCCAUGCAGCCUUCACAUCGCCACUUCCUCCCACAUUUGAUAUCAUCACCAUGUUGAAGUUUGAUUGUCCUCUCAACGUGAAUCGGACACCUCCUUUUCUUUUACAACUUACCCUUUUAAAAUAGAAUAUUUGAAAGUGUAAACAACACAUAAACAAAUUAACAAGUAACAAUUUAAUGUAUGUGGUAAAAGUUUGCCGAUCUUAAACAUUCUACUGUUAAAUUCUUUUCCUUUUUUCUAAAUAAUACGUCUAUUAAUUGUUAAACUUAAUACAAAAUAUCACAUGAAGAUGUUACAACAAUGUGGUUAUAUUAUAGAAAAUACCCUAAAAUAAUGUCCAUAUACUUAUAAAAGAUGUUCCAAUAUCACCCGAAUUUCAUAAUUAUAUAAUAUGCACAAAAGUUUAGCAUGAGAUCAACUAGUACCUAUGUGUAUUAGAGAAUAAGAGAUAUUAGAUUCAUUCAAUUCUUUAUAGUCCAUUUAAAUUUUUUGGGUUAUAUUUUAUAAAUAGCUUCCAAUCUUUAAUAUUUUGGUUUAGAUAUAAUUGAAAUCCACCGACUUGAAAAUUCACUCAUAGAAAAUGUAAGAUAUACUAAAAGUGUUUUUGCACUGAUUAGAUGAGAAUAUUAUAUUGGAUUGCAUAAUUUGAAGUAAGUGUACCUCUUGUAAAGGACAGGGACAAUCCCUUCGUUGCCUUGACGAGCAAUAGUAAGAAAAGCAGGUGACGACAUGUCGAAAUGGGACCGAGGGGGGUCGCACCAGCCCCCGUUGUUAUUGGACGGGCAGAAGUUUGUGGCAGUGACGGUGACGGCGCGGCGGCGGAGACACCACUUGGGGUCUGCGUUAUAGUUGCAAAUUACUAGAAAACAAGCGCCGCAAGCCUCUCCCCUUCUGAAAAGUACGCCGCUCACAGCUGCCGUGUUUAUUCCGAACCCGGCAUGAAACGUGUUGUCGUAACCACAUGCUCCUCCUGAUUAAUAAAUAUUCUCGCAAGGUUACAUUUCGUAUUUUUAUUCCAUAAUUAGUUCUCGUGUGAUAAAUAAGAUCAUAUGAUAAUGGUUUUAUUAAACUCUUUGGUUAUAAAUUAUUAUAUAUUAAUAGAUCACGAAAAGGAUUAAACGAAUAUAGUGUUUGAAUGUUGAGUUGAUUGCCAGGUAUGCAUGAUUAAUUAAUUGUUAGUUUUUCUAAUUAUUGUGUUUCAUUCGUUAAUUAAUUAUUUAAAACCAUGUUCCAUUAACAAAGUAUUCUUUAUAUAUAAUUUAUUUCUCAUAAAAUAGAUAUUAGAAUUAAAUUAGCCGUGCGAUUAUUAUUGUUUAACAUUAUUAUUAAAAUUUUAGGAUGAUAAUAAAUAUGGCAUGAACUUUCUUUUUUCAAAAAGAAAAAUGAUUUAUAAAAGCUACUAAAGAAAUUUAGAAAUAUUUCAAAAACUUGUUUUAAUUAAACCUCCUUUAAUUAUACUUUCAACGUUCUUCUAAAAACAAUUACAAAACCUUAUACAUUUUAAUCUUUACCUAAAAUUUAAAAUAGUGAACUCUACUGAUUAUCCUAAGCUCCAUAUUUAUUGAUUAGUUUUUUUAUUUAAUUUCUCUUAUAUCUAUAUAUUUAAAAGAACCAAAUAAAUUAACCAUUAAAAAAAUAAUUAUCAAGCAAAACAAACUCAAAUUUAUUAUCAAGGAAGAGACUGCCACAUUAAUUAUAUAUGUUACUUUUGGUUGAAUGUAAAACUAUAAAUUGAUACUUUAAAAAGAAUUUGAAUUUGUAACUACAUUCUAAAUCUUCCAAUACAUUUAAAUGAUAAAUGAUUGUGUUUAAAUAAUACUUUGAUCCAUAAAUGAUAAAUGAAAAAUUUAUUAAAGACUAAAAUGAAUUAAAACAAAAAGUAUUUAAAGCAUAAACUUUAAAGUAUUUGGAAAAUAAUUAAACAAGAAAAAAAAGAGCUCACCAAGACUAGUAGGGUUUUGAUCAGCUCCAUAGAAAGUUGCAUGAGCAUCAAACCAAGAAUUAUCCCCAUGGACAAAGAACUCACCUAAACCAAUCACCAUGAAAAUGAACCAAACAAACCCAUUAUUAUUCUCAUAAAUCAUAAUUUACACUCCGAUCCGAAGAGACAAACAGAAAUAAAGAUCAAAUGUAUAUAUAUCAAAAGACAAAGUAUAUGUAAUGUGUAUACAUAGAAGAUUAACAAAAGGUGGUGUAUUUAUAGAAGGCUACAAAAGGAGAAAUUUAAUUUGUCGGUGAUUUUACAGUAAAAUAAAAUAGAAAUUAGGAAUAACGCGGUUUUAAGAAGAAGAAGAAGAAGAUGAUGAUGAUGAUGGUGAAGGUACAGAGAGAAGUGUACGGGUACCACUACGCAACAUGAGACAAUCUAAGAAACAUGCCCAUGUGAUUGUGACCUUUCUCAAUCUUUUUCUUCACUAUUUUUAUUUUAAGAUCAUGCAUUAUGUCGGUGUUUUAUUAUCUUAACUUUCCAAUCAAAUCCAUCUACCUUUCAUUACCUACCUUAAUGCUUAAGAAAUCACACAAUCAUACUUAAAUAAAAACGUAAACGAUAGAAAAUUGUCAUAAAGGUUAAUUUGUUACAGUAUAUGUUAACAUUGUCUACGUAAAAAUAAAUAAGGAUUAUCAAGAAAAAACUAUUAGAUUUCAGAUCAAGAUGCACCUCUAAACUUAAAAAGCUUAUAUAGUAUACUCUAAGCUCUAGGCUAAAACAAAGACCACCUCUACAUGUUAGUUGUAGAGUUAGAUAACACAUUCACCAAAUUAAAUUUCAACCUCACUUGAUGCAAUUAUGUAAUUUUCUUUUUUCUUUUUUAUCAAAUUUAUGUGUUAGGUAAACAUAUGUGUUCCAUGUAAACUUGUUUAAAAUUAAUGUUGUAUUAAUAUUGCUAUUCUCAGAUUUCAAUUUUAUUGAUACAUUUGAUAAAUAACAAUAUUGAUAGAUUUUUUUUUGUAAAAUAUUAUAAAAACUAUUUAGAUCAAUAAACUGAGUCUAGCUUUUUUUUUACUACGUUAUCAAUAUAUUGUUAUUAGUAUUUUUUAUAAGCAUUGGAUUAAUGAUAUUUUUUAUUGUUUUAUGAGCAAGUACUUACAAGAGAUAUUUAAUAUGAUUGUCGAACCUUUCUAUUUAAUUUAUGGAUAUAUCAAAUAUGUCAAUAAUUUUUUAAUCUUGAGUAUACUAAAUGCAAGAUUUAAAUUAAAUGUCGAUAUCUCAAUUUUUCUAAAAUGUAGAUAGAAAUAUGAACAAAUAUUUACAUUGAAGAGUUAUUAUUUAUAUUACAAAAUAAUAUAAUUAUAAAAAAACUUCAAAUUAAUAAUUAAAAAUUUAUAAAAAUGAAAUAUUAAUAAUAAAUGAAUGAAUAAAUAUUUUUAAAAAAGUUAAAAGGGCUCUAAUUCAUAUUAUAUCCACGAUAUUGCUUAUUUUUUAUGCUUAAAAUCUUUUUGUGAAACAAUAAAAAUAAAAAUGCUCAUUAAUUCACCUAAUUUUAUAUCAAUGUUGUAUCUAUAUGAAUGUAGAAACAUGAAUGAAAAUGUUUAGUUGUCAACCAAAAAGAGUACCAAGCUAAGUAUAGGUGUUGAAAUAGAUCGACGGUGUAUUGACUUAUAUUUAAGUUUGACAAAUCAAGCAAUAAAUUUUGAUCUACUUAUCCAUGUGCUAUACAUAAUUAAAAAGAGAGAGAAAAAAAAGAGCUUUGAUCACACAUGAAAAAAUAUUUUUCUUGAAAUAGUACACAUUUUAUACUCCAUAUAUACUUUUAGAUUAAUGUAAAAGUAAUAUAUCAAUGAUAUAUUUUUUAAUUUGAGAUAUAUAGAAUUAUACUAAUGCAAUUGUAGAAGUGGUUAACCUAAGUUGUCUUCCAUUAGGGUUUUCAGAGUUGCUUUAGAAUAUGAUCCUUCCACUUUCAAGGUUGGUCAGUCUUGGUCUUAAGCACCAUGCUCAGUCUCAACAAAAUAAUAUGUGAGGUAUUGAUUGCGUUUUGGACUAUAUAUAUUGACAGUAUGCAAUGAAAAUUAGCGACGGAAAGUGUUGCAGUGCAAGCUGAGUAAGGUUUUCUAGCUAUGCGAUGAGAAAGAGCUAUGUGUUGAGAUGGGAGGCAAUUUGAGCUUCCUUCACAUGAAGUAGCUAAUGUCAUAAGGUCAACAUUUUUAUUUUGUAAGAUUCACGUUUUGGUUAGAAAAGUUGUUUUUGGAAGAAGGUGUUUGAAGGGUUAAUCAUGUUAAAAAGCUUGGCAGAGGAAAAGUAUGUGUUAAAAGCUGAGUAACGUGAGGAAGAUGUGUGUUUUGGUUUAGCUAAUGCAAGGGAGGCAGGCAAAAGAAGUUAGAACAUUUUAGGGAAAUGUUUUAAUCUUGGUUAGUUGACAGAUUAUGUGUUGAGUUUAGAGCUAAAGUAUGGUUAGGAAAGAUAUUAAAGUUACACAUGUAAAAGUACAAAGUAGAAGCUGGCAAGCUAAUCAAGAGUGACUAAUUUGACAUAGGAUUAGUAUAUAAUCAGGACUAAAAGGUCGUUGAGGAAUAUCAUUAGACGAAAAGACAAGGAUUUCUGGAAAAUUAGGCGUUCAAAGGAAGGAAACCUAAUUUUUAUGAGUGGUUUUUCUUAAAAUAUUUGAAAAAUAAAUGAAUUUCUAUCAUGAAUCUUUAUAUAUUUCUCUUUUCGAAUUCUUCAAAAAUAAAUAAAUUUUCAUUAUAAAUCUUUAUAUAUUUCACUUUUUGAACGCAAUAUGAAUCUUUCUAUUUUUGAAUGGUUGAGUUGAAUAAUUUGAAUCUUUAUAUAUUUCUAUUUUUGAAUGGUUGAGUUGAAUAAUUUCUAUUGUGUUUCUCAAAAAUUUUAAAAUUGAUUUGACUUACAAAUGAAUUUAAAUGGUUGUUGCGAAAUAAUUUUUGUACCCUAUGCCAUGAGAUACCUCAUAUUUGCUUUGUGAUCUGGUAUGAGAUACCUUACUCUUAUUAUAUGAUCUGGAAUAGGAUGUCUUGUACUUGCUUUAUCAUAUGAUAUUAGAUGUCUUAUACUUGCUGUGUGAUGUGAUAUAGUAUAAAAUGACUUAUGUUUGCUUUGUGAUCUGACACUGAAAGAUGCGUUGUGUUUAAUGAAAUACCGUGGAAGAUAGAAAUUUUACUUGAAUCCAUUUCACGCUAGCAAACUUGAGAUACAUGAUUUCGACCCAAGGAAAUUGUUUUUCCGUUUUGGGUAUAACAGAAACAACUUUAGUACCCAUGUAACUCAUCCUUUCCUGCCCUUCGGGAGUUUACAAUAUGGAUACAAAUUAAAGAGAUUUCACGUGAAAGUUUAAGUCUAGGAAUCUUUGAUGGCUCAAAGUAAAUGGAGAAGUGAAACAAUAUGGUCAGGUUAGGAAAUGAAGCUAAAAGAUUGAGACGGUUUGUCCAUUUCACUCGUGUCAAACCCACCAUAGAUGCCAAGACUGAAGCUAAGGGUUCCCUAGCUUCCAAUCUCCCGCCCCUAGAUUCUCCAUGGUGAAAUUUGGCUCCAAUCCUGGAAACUCUAUAUCCUUGGAUUAGAAAGUUCCUUAUAUAGAAAUCAAGAGGGUGUGACAGUGAUUGGCACUUUGUCGAAGCAGAGCAUUGCACAAUGCACAGUGGCUAUGGUCUGGAAAACGUAGAAGCGAUGCAGCUGCGACACUUCACCUCAAACGAACCAUCUGGAAAAUGCGUCGACGGGCACCGGGUGGGCACUGCACGCCUGUCUCCAUGUGUUUGAGGCUCACUCCAUGUUGUCCUGUUUGUUUGCCAACUUCUCAAUUUUAACACCAGAAGCAUCCUAGAGGUGUCAAUUGCUCACUUACCGAAAGAAACGUAUGUUCAUGUGCUCAUUAUCUAAUACAAUGUGCUUCAAAAUCUUUCUCAAAUUGUUAACGCGAGAUCAAGGAUGUUGUGAUAUAUGCAAAUUAUAGGUGCGCACUAACUAAUUUAUAUAAACUUUGUCAGAAAAGAAUUUAGUCAAACUUAGAUGAUCAUUAUAUAUAAAAAAUUUAAGAAUUACAAAAUUUACAUGAGAAUAAUUUAAAUUUUCAUCAAUCAAAUAAGUUCAAUACAAACGUGACAAACAAAUAAAAUUUUUAAAAAUGUUGAAUAUUUAUUAUCAUAUUUGAAAGAUAAAACAAAUAUUACCACAAUUUUUGUUAAGAAAAUGUAAUUCAAUUAAGAAAACAAAUAUCUAACUUAAUUUUACAAGUAUUCAAAGAUAUAGAAAGUAUAAACUUAUAAGGAAAAUAUAUCAAUCAAACAUUUCAAAUAUAAGAAUUAUAAUUAAAAAUAAUGCAUCAUAUACUACCUUAAUCGAAUGGAGCACUGACAAAAAUAUCAAAACAAGUUAUAAUAAUUAAGUCAUAACACACAUUUAUUCUUUGUAAAAUUGACAAAAACAAAACCCAACUCAUAUAUACAAAAUGUAAAAUGUCAUAAAUGUCUUCAUUACUGAUAAGCAUUUGAUAUACCCGAUAUACUUAAUAUCAUUACAUCUAAUACACCUUGAUAACUUAAUAUACAUUUGAUACUUCUUGGUAACCUUUAGACAUUGAUAUACUUGAUGAACCACGAUACUCUCGGAUACACUCGAUACUUUUGAUACACCUGAAACAAUUUGAUAUCAGUAUACUUAAUACUUCUUGUUACAAUUGAUUUUUCUUGAUAUACUUAAUACCCUUUCGACCUUGAUACACUCAAAUGUUUCACUAAUAAGCUUAAUACACUUGAUGUCGUGCUAAUAAACUUAUUAUGUUUCAUUAGUGCACUCAACAAGUUUGAUACACUUGAUAUACAACAUAUACAUUUAUUAUUUCUCACUGAUACACUCAAUUGAUUAAAUACACUUGAUAUGCUUGAAGUCCUACUUAUAGACUUGAAUUCCUACUUAUACAUUUGAUAUGCUUGAAGUCCUACUUAUAGACUUGAAUUUCUACUUAUACACUUGAUACACUGUUAAUAUACACUUGUAAACUUGAUAGAUAUACUUGAUAAUGAUUUACUUCACUAAUAUGCUAAUAUAUUUUAAUAAUAUAUUGAUGAUAUAAUUUGUGAUGAUACACUGAGUUAAAUCGUUCAUAUGCUCAUUUAAUCAAUAAAUUACAUAAAAUUUGAAGGAAAAAAAAUUACGUAGUAAAUAUAUCAACCAACUAAUACAUAUAAUGUAAAUAUAUCACAACACUAAUAUAAAUACAUCAUAACACUGAUAUACAAAACUGAUAUAAAAUAAAAUCAAAACAAAACCAACGUAAAAAAAUAAAACAAAAUCAUUUAAAAUCAAAUUUAACCCAUAAUACACAUUGAAAAAAGUAAAGAACAAUCACAAACGAAAUUAAAUUACUUCAAUCAACAACCCUCAUGUUUCAUGUUGAAAAUAAUGUGACAUUGAUAUUCUAAAAUUAAGAUUGAGAUAAGAAGAACAAAUAAAAAAUGAUGAUUAAGACCUUAAAAAAGGAAAAGAAAUAUGUACGUUAUUGAAUAAACAAAUUAUUUUUUUCUUCUAGCCUUCAAAAGUGGGAGAAAAGAUUAUAAGGACAUCUUCUAGUCAUGAUAUAUUGGAUUCUCAAUAUCCUUGUUCAGGUUUAAACAACUCUUUGGCCAGCAAGUUCAACCCUUCUCCAUUGAACUACUCAAUGUCGUAAACAAUGAUCAAAUUUACCAACACACUUUUCAGCAACUUACCUUUCACUAUAUCCUUUUUUUUCUCUCUUUUUUGUUCAAAAUACUUCCACCUUGGUGCUCAAAGUCAUUCAAGAAGAUCUACAGAUCAAUAAAGUUGCAUACAACAAAAAUAUUUGUAAAUGAAAUUAUACAUAAAACUAGACCUUUAUCGAUAUUACAAUGUACUAAUCACAAUAGAAAUUUAAUGUAAAUUUUUGUAAACUCAUAUACCUCAUAUAUGAUCAAAUUUGCCAAUCAACAUAUAUACAUACAUGAUAAAUGAUAACACUUACCUUUUUUCUUUACCCUUUCAAAUACCUUGAACAUAUGUACAUAGGUUUAACAGAUCUUUAGUAUUCUUGGCAUUUUAAAUGAAUUAACUCAAAACUCUACAAAACCUCAAAGUGGUAAAAACUCGUAUUGAUAACGUAAAACAAACAAAACAAGACCAAUGAAACAAAACAAGUACGAAACAUGGAGAAUAGAAAAAACAAAGAAAACAAAGAAAACAAUUUAACGCAAUUAUGGUAUAUCUUACAAAGACAUCAUAUACCACUAUUUAUUUAUAGAGCAUGUCAUAAUAUGGGUUAUAAUGUAGAAUUUAAUAGGAAUAAAUGUUACAAUAACUUGGGUAGGUUAUCGAUAAUCUACAUUUGUAAUAUAUAAUUAUAUUUACAAUACAUAGGACCAAUUAGGCAGAAUAUAUAUAUAUAACAAAUAUCUUUUAAGAAAUCUGAGGGACUUAUUAUACACAUUUUUUAGGAACCAUGUUAGAAACAAUUUUAGAAGUACACGUACUAUACUUCUAAUCAUAGAUGAAAUUGUGUCCUUACCUAGCAUAAGGUUCCAGAUCUCCAACUGCAUGUAAGUAAUAUCAAAAUAACAAAUUUGAGCAUAAACAAAGUCAUUAUAGAAAGAAGUUGCCAAAUUGGAAGUGCAUUAAUGUUGUUAGGCAACAAAUUCUUGUACGAACAAAGAUAUGGAAGUCAUGAAAAUUCCAUAUUUUCCUCAUUCAGAAAAUUAAUCUCCUAAAUCCUUCAUGAUUAGGGUAAAAAUUAAUUGAAUACAAAGUUUGGAAGAAACCCUUACUACUGAACACACAAAAUGUCAUCAACAAUUUUAUCAAAGAAAACUCUCUUGAACUUCACUUGACAAUGCCGGUGUGAAUUUUCAAUUCAGAGAUGAAUGCGUAACCUAAAAAACAAGGAGAGCAUGGGCAUCAACGUGGAAUUACUUGCGACAAUGCCUCCAACGCCCAAGUCAUUACUGAGCUUUUUGUUAUAACAAGAGUUUCAAGCAUGGAAGAGAAUACCUGGCCACUUGUAGAGAAUACCUUUAAAAUAUGUACCAAAAGUUCUCUACAAUUCAAUGUGGCAAGUAAUUCAUGCAUUCCAGCAGAAGAUUAAUACAAAUAUCAAUACAUCGAAGAAUUUCAUGUAUAUUAAAAUAAUUGUACAUAUGAAAGAUGCAUUCAUAGUGAAAGUAUUGCAGCAAUAGAUACAACCUAAAGAAGAUACAGAAGCAUCAAGGAACUAUAUGUAACAAAAGAGGAGAGUUUAUUUCCAGAGUAGAGAAUUCAUCUUCAGAUAUUAGAAGCUAAAAUUAAGGAAAUAAUGGGAAAGCAGCUUAAAUCUUACAAUUCGUACUUUAUAUUAGCCAUCUCUACGAGAAUUUUUCCAUGCUGGCUGUCAAAGUUCCUUUAGGAACUGCACCUAUUAUUGCCUCUUUCUUCUCACCAUCUUUAAAGAUAAUCACAGUAGGUAUGCUUCUGAUACCAUAACGGGAUGCAAUCGAAGGGUUGGCAUCAGUAUCCACCUUGUAAAAUUUGAACUUUCCUUCAUACUCUUUUGAUAAAUCAUCAAUGAUUGGAUGCAUCAUGCGGCAAGGACCGCACCAUGGAGCCCAAAAUUCUACCAUGACGGGCAAUUUAGAUUCUGUAACUAGUGACUCCCAGGUAGCUUCUGAAGCAGCAGGUACUGCAACAUUCAAGAAACAUGCAAUUUCAAUUAACCACAACAAUGCUUUUUCGAGGAGAGAAAAAGUAGGUGCAGGUAAUAUUAUCGACCUCCAAUGAGGUAGGCAGCAGAGAAGAUACUAACAUAAAAUGAGUAUUGUGCCUCUCCCGGAUUAAUAUCAACAUCACAGCAAGUGAUUAAAAACAAGUAUAAACAAUGAUACAGAGAUCUGAAAACAAAGUCAGUUAAAAGUGUCGAAAUUCUUAAGGUCCAAACAGAAAUUUUCAAAGUCUUCUUCCCAUGAUCUCAUAAAUAAAAUAAAUGUCGGGUAUAUGAAAGCAGAUAUGGAAAAUUUUGAUACAAGUAAACCCCUCAAUACAGAAACAAAUGGAGUUCUCUGAUCAAAUUGGUAAAAAAAAAAAAAAGACUAGCAACUGAACAAACACUUAUGAACUAUAUACACAACAUACAAAGUGUAUGUAUGUGCGCAUGCUUGUAUAUUAGAAUAUAAAGAUAGCUGAAAUGUACCAUUUACCGUUUCGACAGUUCAAGAGCUGUUAUUUCAUACCAAUCAUUCAGAAUAACAAUUAAAAUACAAUAUGCUGGAACGACAACAAUCAACGCAUGUGCUAUAACAUUUCAAUGUUAAUACUUACACCGAUUGUUAAAGACUCAGAAUCUGACGCCAUACAAUACAAUAAAUCAAGAUGCAUACAGAAACACACUCACUCAUGCACACGAAAAGUGUGGGAUGAGAGAACAGGACAUAAGAGAAAAACAACUGGGGCAUUUUCCCAACAUAUUGAGCCAAUAUCAGACCAGCUCCCUACUGAUCACUCUUAGUGGCAUCAUUAAGACCCAGGCACAGCAGAAAUCAUCUACUCAAUUAGCAACUAUUACUCCUAAUGCUUAGUGACAACUCUUACAAGCACAGGUCCCUUUCAAGGAUGUGUUGACAAAAUUGGUCUGUGACUCACCAAUUGGGUGUCCACUGAUUGCCUAAGGCAUCAUCUCGGGUAAUAAUAUAUGGUCAAUGUAUUAAGUCGUUAGAAAUUUUAAAGCUCAAGCUUUCACUUCAAAAUGGAAACACAUUUCCAACAGCCCAAUUCAGAGCCUAUUUGUAACGAUUUUUUUAAGAGUUUGAAAAAAUCAAUUAGAAGCCUUUCUAAACAGGACAACAGAUUCAUCCCAACUUAGUAUCACUGAAUUUUAUAUUCAGAUCAAAGAAAAUGCAAGGAUAUGGAAUGAAUAUUGACAAGUACAUAAAUUCAAACAGGAAAUGAUCUGUUAUACCGUGUCAGUAUCAAUCCACCAAACUGACUUCUUUUUUAGUUACUUUUUUAGUUUUCGCUCUAAUUUUAUAUUAUGCAUAUACAUAAAAAGUUAAACUCAUCAUGAUCUGACGUAUAAGUCAUAACUCUAGAGGUGCUUUAACAUAUUAUUCAUUAAUCGCACACACGUCGAGUUUCAUAAGUAUCUAAACGAAAUCAAAUCAAACACCAAUAGCUACUAAGAACAUGAUCUUAAAUCCACCAAACAUCCAAAUAUCGUCAAAAGUUUCACUUCCUCAUUUCUCCAAACAAGAGAAAAACGACAGUAAAAGAAAAUAGGAGAACAAAAUCCCAACCAAUGGCAGCAGUUUCCUGAGCUUCGCAAACGAUAGUUGCAGAACGGUGAGGAAAUCUAGCAUUAGAUCUGGCAGAUCGUAGAGAGUGAGAAGUGAAGCUGUUUGCGAUCUUCAAGCCUCUGCACUGCGGGAGGCAAAGGGAGGUGCGACGGGCAGAGAAAGCGGUGGAAGCCAAGGCGGAUGAACAAGGAAGAGUGAGGGAAUCGAGAACCGUCGCCAUCGAAGGAAGGGAUUGAUGGGUGGUGAUGGUGGUUGUGAGUGAGAGAGAGAGAGAGAAAGAGGGGGGUUUGGGCAAAAUUAGGGAAUUGGGUUUUGGGUUUGAUGUGUCAAUGGAUGGAGGACGAAUGGAUGAGGGUGCUGGGGAGUGGCACACCGUGACGUUGAUUCAAGUUCAAAUACAGACCAAUAAAAUUAUAACACGUUGAUUGGACAGGUGGCGUUUUUACAAUGAAUAAGUUGUAAGUCGGAUUUGGAUCUUGAACUUGCACUCCAACUCCAACUCCACCCUCUACUCAUGGGAAGAGCCAGAGUUGAAUCCAAACACACCCAUCACACUACGAAUACAACUACAUACGAAACCAUACGACUAUAUAUUAAAGGUCCGUUUGAUAACAUUUUUGUUUUUUGUUUCUGUUUUCAUCUUUUAAGAAGCGAAAGUGUUUGGUAACGUUUUCUGUUUUUUUAUUUUCAAAAAAAGUAUAAACGUUUUUCAUUUUAUAAGAAAUUAUAAGAGAUGAUGAACAAGAAAGAAAUUCUGAAUAGGAGAUGAAUAAGUCGUGAAUGAGAAUACACAUGAAGGAGAAAUAAUAUGAAGACAGUGUUCGUCUCGAAAAAUUCAAAACGAACAAUGGAAAUUUUGGAAUUUAUGAAAAAAAUACAACAAUAACUUUCUAUUUUUUUAUUAGACCAUAAGUAUUUUUUGGUUUUGUUCUAUUCGUGUAAGUUAACCUAAAAGAAAUGUAUUAAAGAUAUACAAGAGGGUUAUAUAUUAAAAGUUUUUGUGGAAAUUCAAAUACAAUAACGACGAUUCUAAGAUUUGAUUUUGUUUUUAGGCGCGAGAGUGAACAAUUAAAAUAGAGUUGUUUAAUUUUAAGUCGAAAAAUAUUAAAUAAUUUUUUUUCUUAGAUAGUUUCGUGGUUUUUAUUUUGAUUCACAUCAUCUUAAUUUUCACGUAAAAGACGAUAUCAAACGAAUCUUUAACUAUACGUUAUAAAAUCACUUAAUUAAUCGGAUGAUGUUUAAUUUAAUAAACAUGUCACUUCUUUUUAAGACACAUCAUAGACGAAAAAGUGAACGGAUGAAUUAUACAUUAAGUUCAUUUAAUCUUUAGUAAUCAUGCUUUAUGUACGAAUGAUGACAUAUCAAACUAAGUUUAAAAAUAAAUAAAUGUCACAAAUAUAUAUAAAAAAAGAAAGAAAAACAAAGAAGAAAUAUCUAUGACAACUCGACCAAAUAACAACAAAUCUUUUCAAGCCCGUAUGAAUACUAUAAAUAUUAAAAUGAAAUUGUUAUCAAACACAAGUAGUUUUGUUCUGUUGAUCUUAGUUAAGCUAGGUUCCUUUCCUUCAUAAAAGAUUCAAUUUUGUCCACAUCUUCAGGAACAUCAACACCAUGAGCCUCAUGCUCAACCUUAAUAACCUGUAGAAUAAAAUGGCAGUUUCAACACUUUGAGCAUCAUACAUUUUCAAAUGUGAAAACACAACUUUCAUUUUUCAAAAGAAAAAUAGUUUCUAAAUUUAAAUCUCAUUUUCUAAAGGUGCUUCUUAUUUAUUAAAAUAAUUCGACAUGAUUAACAAUAAUACUAUAGUCCCUAGGAAGAGUAAAAAUUCACAAUGUUAUUUAAAAUUUGAGUUUAAUUUCAAUUUAGUUUUCAUGUUUGAAAAUGUUACAAUUUACUCAUAAGAUUUGAAUUUUAUUUCAACAUGGUCCAUACGUCUCAAAAUUAAGUUACUUUUAACUUAUUGGUAGUUGAAAUGACUUUCGUCCUUUAUCUAAUCCACACCCUUAAAUAGAUGUGGACUAAAAAAAUCAAAUUUUUACUACAACUCACCUUUUCGUACUUAGUGUUAAUGACAAUUAAUUAAUGGAAAAUUGUCAUGAAUAGAAAAAUGUGAAAGAUAUUUACAAAAUAUAGCAAAAAAAAAACAUAAGUGACCUAAAGCCACUUACUUAAGGAGAGUUUGAUAAAUUUUGUUAUAUUUUGUAAAUAGUUUCAAUAUUUUGUUAUUUUAAAAAACGUUUCUUAAUUAAUUUAAAAUAAUUAUAAUUAAAUUUUCACGGUUUUUCUUUAUCAUUAUUAUAAUUAAUUUUAUCAUUUCACUUUAAAGACCAAAAGCAAGUGAAAAUCCAGGUUAAAGGUGUUUCUUGAAAUCGAAGGACCAAAUUACAAAUAAAUCAAAUUAAAAGUAAAAUUACCUAAGGACUAAAUAAAAUCAAACUCAAAAGAAAAGGACUAAAAGUCUAAUAUUCUAAAACUAACGGACGAAAUUAUAAGUAGAUCCAAAAUCUAUAAAUAUAAAAGAUAACAAAAAAGAAUUCAAAUCUAAAUAACUCGGGAAGUUUUUUCUUUUUCGAAACGGAUUUGAAAUAACUAAAGAGUUAUACUGAUCACACUUUAGAUUAACCAAAGAGAGUACAACUCAAAUGACAAAUAGUAUGCACUAAUAACUAAGAUGCCUAUAGUUUGAAUCUCUCUUUGUCAGUCUAAAAGAAGGUUUUUUUUCUAAAAAAAAAGUUAUUCCAUACAAACUGUACGAAUAACUGCUUUUAGAAAGUAUAUGAAUUUCCAAAAGCGGGAAAAGAUGCUAUAUAACAUAAGAAGAUGAGCUGUACCUUCAUUUUGUAGCCAUGUUCUAAUACUUUUAGCUGUUCUAGAUCCUCUUCUAGUUGCAAUGGUGUUGACUCGAGUUCAGGAUACAUACUUAAAAAUUUCGAAUCAAAGCUCUGGAAAGAAAAAUAGAAAGAAUGGAAGAUUCAUUUAGUCUGCCAUUGCCGCAUAAUGAAUUCAUCUCCUGUACAUUCAGUAAAUACCUGGAUUCCAAGAUGAAGCAAAUAAGGAUAUUGAAGGUUGACCUUUCCUGACCUGCAUGAAUGAAAUGAAUUGAUGAAACUUGAUAAAUUUUCUGAGCAACCAAAGCUAUCUAUAAUAGAAUCCUUGAGUUGAUUUAGAAGAGUACACACAAGGGAAAUCCAAGAUGGAAAAGAAAAUUUUACUUGUUGAAAGGGAUCAAUCCUCUUGAAAAAUAGAUAGCAUAACCACGACUAUCCACUACGCACUUCACCCGAUUGGGAUCGAAUGCAUCUUCGGGUUUUAAGGAUGUCACGGCAGUGCUGAACACUGCAUCCGGGGCAGCCUACACACCAUAGAAACACAAGUCAAACAAUUAAAAGGAUACAAGGCAUCAUGAAAUCAAAUUUUGACAUCACUACAUUAUUGACUAUGAUUGGAAUAGGAUUAUAAAGGACAAUUUAUUACCAUGUAUUCAUUUAAUAUCAAAACUUCCAAGCCUAUCUAAUAAAAUUUUAUAAUAACUGAAAGGUAUGAGAUCAUUUACCUGCAAAGCUUUAACAAUGCCGUCGAUGAUCUCUGGUUCAAUAAGGGGCUCAUCCCCCUGAAUAUUAACAACAAUGUCAUAUUUCUUUUCAAGCUUCUGAAGUGCUUCAUUACAGCGCUCAGUCCCUAAAGUAGUUCCAUACUUAAAUAAGACUUCAAAAGUUAUCAUGAGAUUUUGUUAUUUAUAAAAUCACAGUGCUUACCAUUCCGGCAAGACUCUGAUGUCAUUACAACAUCAGCACCAAAUCCUUUACAGCAUUGUGCAAUCCUAGCAUCAUCAGUCGCUACAACUGGAAAGAUUUCAAAUCAAAAGGAAAGGAUGAGAUGAUGAAAUUGAAACAUGAAACAAGAAAAAAAACACACACACUUACCAACACAAUCCAAUGUAGUAGCCAUUUUCGCCCUUUCCCACGUUCUCUGCAGAAAAUGAAUUUCUUAGGAAUAUUAAAAUUUCGAUAGACUUGAAAAAUGAACAAUAUAAAAGCAGAAUCCUAGAUUAUAUAGUAGAAUUUAUUCACUCGUACAACUAAAUCAACACCCAACACUCGAGAACUGAAGAUUAAUCAGUAUAACUCUUUAGAUCGAGAAACAAAGAUCCGUAUAACAUAUGAUGUCAGUUACACAUUUCCUAUGAAGUACAAAUCUCCACCAACCAAUGCAAAAUUGAAGUCCUAUUCAUACAAGUUCUAAUGGAUUUGAACUACUAGAGCUGAAAGUUCAACAUAUAAGAAUUGAUAGAACUGAAUCAUUGGAAAAUAGUUCCUAAAAACUGAAAACUGAACGAACCCAGAGGAUUCCAAUUUGGUUCUUGUCGACCAGAAUUUGUACGGAAGGAUGAUGGUUUGAUCAAUAAAUGAUAUGAUAUUACAAAAUAAACCCGAGACAGAGAAAAUUAUAAAGAACUUCCAAAAUUGAAACAAAGAGUAUUUAAACUGUAAUCAUUGAAAGAAGCACGGAAUUAACAGUAGAGAAGACCCAGAAAAGAAAAUCUACGAAACUGUCAAAAUACAUUUCUUGUUGAUUAUUCUAUUUUUUCUUUCAAGCUGAAGAUAUCAAAAGAAGGCUAUCAUGAAUUGUAGCUUAAGGGUGCUCUUUUCUUUCAUGAAUGGGUGGACUACCCAAAUUGCUGAAAGGAAAUUGUUGGUACCCAUGAGAAGAACCACCAGCAAGUUGAAGGGGAGGAAAGUGGAUCAUAAGGAAACCACAGAACUCUACCGUUCAUUUCUUUAUGGGAUUUCUGCUUUAGCUAAGCUCACCAAGACCACUGUGAACAGUUGUACUGACACCUAACCAAUAGAUACAGAGGAAUUCUGCUAAUUUAACUAUAAUUCAUCCUACAAAACCUACUAGUUACAUUUUAUGCUAGAUCCAUCACACGAUGAAAUAGUUUCAACACAAAGUUAGAAAUCGAAACGAAAAACACCCAGAUCAGAUAUGAAACAAUUGAAAAUUCCAUGAGGUGUUCACAGUAGUAUAAAUCGAAAUUGGCGGAUCCAGAAAUGACCCGAACAAUAAAGAGAAAGAUAAGAAACAAUUAGACUAACCUGGAUCAUGGGCUUUCCAAGAAUCUCAACGAGAGGCUUCCCCUCGAACCGAGAAGAGGCAAAGCGGGCGGGAAUGAUUCCAACAACGCGGCUACGGAAUUUCUUGGAUCGACCCAAAUAAGAUCGAGCUCCGAAGGCGGCACCAAUGGCGAUUCCAGCGACGAUACCAUGAACAAUCCAGGCCUUGGCACUGCCGAGGUAACCGGAUGAUGACGAAGAAGAAGAAGAGCAAACCGACAUGGUCUCCCGCUAAGAGAAGAGCUCGCUGUUGCACUGAUGCGGAAAUUGGGCUGUUGGCUGUUGCUUCCCCCUUCUUUUUCCCUUUCUAUUCAAAUUUUUUUGACGAAUAUUACUAAAUUGUUUGGUGAAGUUUCCUUCCACUAAUCUAAAUAAGAAAUCGAGAAAUAGCGUUUUACCUUUCAAAAUUUUAAAAAUAACACAUUUAUAAAAAACUCGUAACUUUUGUAAUUUUGUCAUUUUAGGUCAAUCUCGACUGAUAUUUCUCUAAAAUAUUAAAUUUUUUUAAUUUAUUAAUUUUAGAAUCUCGGUCUAUUUAAUUGUCUAUCGAUACGUUGUAAAAUUUUAAUAUUUUAAAAAAUCUCGCGAUGGAUCUCGUCCGAAAUUGAUUAAGAUCGGGCUCGAGAUUGAUUGAAAGAAAAACAAUUUUACAAAUUUUAAAAAAUAUAUUACUUUUGAAAAUGAAAACAAAAGAUGUGCUACUUUUGUUAAUUUUCCAAUCUAACUAGAGCACAUAAAUAACAUUAGGUCAUCUUUACCCUACCAUAGUGAAAGUGGAUUUAAUAGCAAUGAGUUUGAACGGCCAACAUAAUUGAAUUGUUUUUUAUCAUUUAUAAUUGAAAUUAUGAAUUUUGUAAAUUUAUGGUUAUUGUUAUGUUAUGGUUACUAUUAUCUUUACCUACGAGGAUAAAAUAAUUUUGACAAUGAUAAUAAUAUAGAUGACAAAAUUAAAAAAAUUCCAGCUAUAAACAAUAAGAUGUAUUUCUCCAGUAUAAUUUGAUUGAACACUUUCAACUCAUCAAUCAAAAUUUGUCAUUUCAUUACAUAUUUAGACGUGGAUCCCAUGUGUUAAUACAAUUGCAUAAAACAAGUGAACAACCCCACAAAUGAUUAAAUGAUGUAUUUUUUUCCUUAUUUUCAUUGAUCUACAUUUCUACUCAGCUUAACGCGUUCUUAAUUCAAUUCAAGAAUAGUAUUUUUAAAGUGAUGGGUGGGAAUUCAAGAGUGUAGUACAUUUAAAGUGUCGCAAACUUUUUCUAUUUUGCAGAUAUAUCAUUGUUAGUGUAUGAAGUAUAUUGAAUAUAUCAAGUGUUUAAAUGUGUAAUAGUAGUGUAUCAACAUUAUCAAAUGUGUCAAAUUUAUUAAAGGUAUCAAUUGUAUAACAACGGUGUAUCAACAAUAUCAAAUGUAUAUCAUUAAGUGUAUUAGGUGUAUCACUAUUUUUUUUUUUACAUUUUAUAGGUUGAGAUUGUUUUGUUGCCAUAUUUGUAGAAGUACUAGGACCUAAUUUCUCUACUCGAAAUUUCCUUAAUUUUGAAUCUAUUGGUCAUACUUAAUAAAAAAUAGAUGAAUUGUUACUAAACUUUGAACUUUUCAUUAUAGAAAUAUCUCAUUUUCAUAAUUCUAGCUAAGGACAAUGAUUAGGUGCAUCCUAUGACGCGUCUAUCUACGUGCUCUCCAUCUUUCAACCACACAAAUACAAGAUUAAAAUAUAUUUUAUAAAAAGGCAAUAUUUUAUUUUAUUUUUGUGUGGUAGAGAGAUAAGAAAACACCUAGAUGUGUGCAUUCGAAAGUAUUUAAGUUUUUUCCCUCUAGCUAAUAGGUUAUUGGGUUGUUAAAAAUUGAUCUCUAGCUAUGUUUUAUCCACAUAUGUUAGUUGAAAUUUUUUUAAUCUCAAAAGCCUAACUCUACUCCAUGCUUCUUUACUCACAAACAACGCUCUUUUUCCAACUUCUUCCAUGAAUUUUCUGUUUGAAAACAUUUGAAAACAUAGUGAAAAUACUUUUUGUUUGAAAACAUUUUUAAGAAGAAACCACUCACAAUCACUUUAACUUCCUCGCUUAGGAUCUUUAGCCAAAGGUCCCUUACACUUUAUUGCAGUUUCAUACUGAAUUAUAGUUUGUGAUGGGUCUAUGAAAAUCUUUGAGAUUCUUUCGAUUACUUUUACUUAAGUGAACAUAUUUAUAUAUCUCUCCAAUGAAACUUUCUAUGCCUAAAUGAUUACCUCUUGGACAAGAAGGUCAACGUACUCAACUCACUAACUUUUUAACACAAGGAUGAUGUCACCUACUUUCAAGUAAAUGAAGUAUACACGAUUGUUAGUGUAUAUAGAAAUUAGAAAAUUUAAUUAAUAGUUAUAAUCGUGUAUCAUUUUCUAUACAAUCAGGUAUCAUGAUUGUUUAGAAGAAGAUUACAUAGUAUUGAAAGAUUGAACAACACAAAAUUUCUCUUCUUGACUGCUUCUUAAUGACAAUAUAUACAUUACGAAGUCAUAUAUUGAUGUUACUAAAUUGCAGAGUCUAGAAACUCGAAGAAAAUACUGUUUUGCACCAAAAGUGAUGUUUAAUACAUUUUAACGAUUUUGAUAAUGUGUUACUAUCUAAUGACUUUCUUUUAGUAAUCGUUAAUUGACGACAGGGUAAAUAUAAACAUGUCAUAACAUUGGAAAAGUUGGGAAUUUUCUAUUUUUUCCAUCAAAAUCGUGUCAUUUUCAUCCAGUAUCCAUGACACUUUUUUACCGUCAUAAAUUUAUGACACAAAAAAUGCAUUUUUUUUUUGAAAAAUCUGGAAACCUUCCUCUUCUCCUACCAAAACUGGCUUUGAUGACUCAUUUUUUACCCCCAUCCAUUUUUUUGCUACUAUUCAUGAGUCAUGGAAAGUCAUUUUAAUAUAACUCUGCAUUUUGAAAAUAAAAAAUUUAAAAUACUGAUGCAUUAAAAAUAUAUAAAAAUGUUAAUUGUUUUCAAUAUUUGCAAAAUUUGAAAACAACCAAUAUUUAGUGAUAUAUGGUCAUCAGAUUAUCUACUAAGAGACUAAUUAAAUCUGAAAAACAUUAAACAAAUUUAGAUUCUCAACACCAAAUAGACCUUUGAAGAUAAAUAUGAAUUUGGUUUUUUUUUAAAAAAUAAUUUUUUUGGAAGCUAUUAGAAAACACACUAAUUAAAUUCAAUAUUAUUACACAACCUCUCAACCUGUGAGUAAAUUGGAAGACAAAACUUUCCACACAUUUCCUUAGAAUUAAAUAACGUCUGUUGUGGCCCUACAACUUUUCUUUUUUUAGUUCAACAUGAAUUUGUAACCUAGAUUAAAUGUACGUGCGUUAAUCGGUUGAGCUAUACUCGAGUUGGAGUAGUUGUUGGAUUACAACUUAGUCCUACAUAUCGGACAAGUUUGAUUAAUCUCUAACCAAUUGAUUAUGCAAUGUGUAUGGAAUAUAUGCUUGCAAUUAGGAAAAACUCGACAUGAAACUCUUUCUCCAAGAUCCUCUAAACAUAUCGUGCAUUCGCUUAACGUCGAUGGAGACUCAUCAUUCUCUUCACAAUUAUAAUAUGCCGAUGGCUUCGUCAAUUUCUCCAUCGCCAUUUGAAGCUGACGAUUCCGCUCCUCAGGAUCGGCCACCAUCGUCGUCGCUACUGUUGUCGUAGUCAUAGUCAUUUCUUCAUUCCUAUUGCCACGUUGCUCGCUCUCUGAGAACCCCUGGUUGCAGCAGCAUUGGAAAAAGAUGUAGAGGCACAAGCCAAAGAAGGAGAUGAAUACAAAAAUUGUCAAGAAAAAGCCAAACAAGACGAUUAUGGGCAUGAGAUUUGGAGAAUGGGGAUAUUAUUAUUGAUUGGUUAAUUGAUUAAUUGAUUGAUUAAUAAUAAUCAAUCAAUUAAUUAAUCAAUCAAUCACGUAUGUUGCUUGGGUGCUAGGAAAAUGAAAGAAAAAGAGGUGAGAAGAAACAAACUCUUGAUGAAGAAUCAUGGUUGGACAACUUAUCAUUCAUUCUUCUUCUAAUUCAUUUAUUUUUAGUUUUUGUUAAGAAAAGAAAGCAAGAGAGUUUCGUAGCAAUUUAGGGCAAAUAACAAACUGUUUUCAUUUUUCAUCUCUCCCUUACCAUUUUCUUGUUUGUUAAGAAAGUUAUUUUGUGAAGCUAACAAGAAUAAUAACUAUGUUAAACCCCAUUUUAAGAAUUUUUGUUAUACAUCCCCAAUACAACCUUGUUGUUAACAAACUCUCUCUAGAAGCAAUUUUAUUUUACUUAUUUUGGUUAAUUUCAAUUUUGAACUUUCAAUACAAUGUUGACUAUGUCAUAUCAAGCAAAUAUACGUUGCCAAUAGAAAAAAGUAUUAAUCAAGUUCCACUGAUAAUGCUUCAAGAUUCAUCCACCUCAAACAUCGGGACGUCAUCUCUUGCUUGCGUGGGCAUCAUUUCUUGCAUGAAAAAUAUAAUUCAUAGUUUGAGAAUUCAAGUCAUGAUAUAUUGCUAUAAACAAACCUUCUAAUCCAUGGGAAGGUACACACAACACCAACACCACUGCCCAGUAGGUUUUGAUCAUUAUCGAUAGAAGACAUCAAAGACAGUUAUUGUGUAACAUUUGCCCACGCCAUGAUACACAUAAUAUGUGUCAUGAGAUGCAAGAGAUGUUGGACCUAUACUCCUCCUAAUAUGGUACAUUUUGAGUCACAUUGUUAUAUCACCCUAAUAGUGGCCUACGAAAUAGGUCACUGCCAUCGUAUAAUACCUUGUCUGUUCGAUUUCCAAUUCACGUUGAAUCCAAUGUGCUUACAUAUAUAUCUUAUCAACUUCCAACCUCUGCUAUGCUUUCCCGUCCACUUCUUUCUUGGUGUGUUUGGAUGCUAGGAAAAAUGCAACAUUUAACUUGUCAAUCACCUCCAUUAUUUACUUGGAUGAGUCACAAACCUACUAGAAUGGUUGCAACAAGGCUACACGCACGCACAACUAAUAUUUUUUUAAUUAAAAAAAAUGAUUGAUUAGGCUGAUUUAAUCUUUAUUGGAUUGAAUUACCUGGAUUAAUAUAUACCCUUCAGUUUAUUGAUCGAAAUCAAUUUGAUUGGUUUUGAUCUAUUUUUCUGGCCUUUUACGUUCUUUUGUGAUUUAAACGUUUGAUCUAUUGAGUUGAAUAAUGUAUACAUGUCUUCUAUCCUUGGUUGCUUAAUUUUUAAAAUGAUUUUCUUAAAAAAUUCAAUCCAAGUUAUAUUAAAAACAAAAGAAGGCCGUAGUUUUUUUUAUUUUUAAAAUUAUGUUUUGGUUUGUUUUCUAAAAUUGAAGUGCUAAUUCAAACGUUAGUUUAGGGAGAUUAGCAAUAAAAUUAAUCAAAUGGAGAAGAAUGUAUACAAUUCUUGGAAACAGAAAAUUAGUUAAAUCAGCCUAACGGGAAUAAAGUUAAAAGAUUUGGAAAAUAUGUGAACCAAAAUAUAAUGAAGCCAUUCAAUAAUGGGAUCAAAAGUUUAAGAUAUUUACAUUGGAUUUUAACAAAUCUCAGGAUUAAUCAUUGACAAUAGAACAGCGACAAAUGGGACAAGUCAUGUUCUUCUUCAACCAAUGUUGAAUACAAGAAUAAUGAAAGAUGUGAUUACACACUGGAAAAUUCUGGCAAAGCUCUCCAUUUUCAAAAUCCUCCAGACAUAUUGCACAAUCAAUGCAUUUUGUCGCCGCCUCCGAGCUCCCAUAGCUCACCGGCGCGGCCACUUUCUCUAUCAUUAUUGUUCUCUCCAUGUCCUCCCUCCAUGCAUUGCUUUCUGACCUCUCCAUGAUGUCUCUUCCAUGACUACUCGUUUGAUGAUGAGUUAACAAAAUCCUACUCCUAGUGAUCAUCAUUUGGUUUUCGUUUGGCUCACCCGCUUCGAGGUUGGAACUGUGGCCAUCUAAACUCGUUGACCCAAUUAGGUAUUUGCAAAUGACAUAGAUGCAGACUAUGAUGGCAAAAGAAGCAACCACAGAGAAUAUGAUGAUGGUGAUGAAGAUGACAAUUACGAUCGAGAACGCGGUGAGGAAAGGGAGGAUGGAAGGAGGAGGGUUGGAUUGUGGAACAGUAAGAGCUUGAGGGAUCAUGAUGUUGUGACUUUAUUUUUCUUUUUCUUUUUUAAUUGGUUAUGUUUUUAGAGCAAAGGUUUCUAGGGUUUUUGUGUGAGAAGCUGAAGAGGCCAUGAGGCAUAAUUUUGGGUUUCUUAACAAACUUCUCUGUAAUUCCAGUCUAAAUCUACAAAGAAAGAAGAACUUAUUAGGGUUUUCAGUUAUUUUUAACUAAUUAAAUUUAACAGCCAAUUGCCAUUACGAUGGAAGCUUCAGUAGGUAAUUCCCAUCCAAAAAUUGAGAGUUUUUGGUUUUGCCCUACCUGUCCCAAGGUGGGUUUGCAAGGCUCAUUCAAGACUCUUUCAAUAGGUAUAUUUCGCUAGCCAAAAGCUAGCUCAAACAAAUUAAGGAAUUUAGUUUGGAAUGACUUUGUAAGUAUUUGUUUUAAAAAAUAUAUAUAUUUUCUUACACUUGCAAGAUUAAUAAAAAGAAAAACGGAAAUUGAAAUAGAUAACCAUUUCAACAAUAAUAAUUAAGGAUAUAGUAAAAUUUUUAAAAAAUUGUAAAUAUAGCAAAACUAUCACCGAUAAACUUGUAUCGAUGAUACACUUCGUAUGGUUUAUCAAUGAUAGACUUAUAUCAAUAAUAGAAUUUGACAAAUUUGGCUAUAUUUGCAAAUUUUUUAAAAUGUUGCUAUAUACUUAAUUAUUUUGAAUCUAAUUGCUAAAUUUGCAACUACUACUAAAAAAACAUUUGAAAAGAUUAGGCCUAUGGCCCAAAGAUUUGAUAUUUUGCAAAAAAAAAAAAAAAACAUAAUAAAUAAAUAAAUAAAAUAAAAAAUUGCAAAAUUGGCGUAUGACCCAAUUUAAAAGGAGAGAUAACCGUGAAAAUGACAAAUUUUAGUAUAAUAAACUGAAAAAUAGCAAAUCUAAGAAAUAUUAAAUUUUUUGGCAAAACAGGCGGUUUCAUAUUUUUUUUACUUUUUUUUACCUAUUUAUAUUCUUUAUGUAGGAUAAUACAUUUGCAUGAUGCAAAGAAUGAGACGGAAUAUCACACCGUCACAAAUACAGUGUAUUUGUAAAUCUUAACUAAUUUAUGAUAUUUUCAUGUUUGGCAAAAUUUCUCAAUAUCCCCUAAAUAAAUGUCUAUAAUUCGAUUUUUGGAUUUUUAAUAUUUAAAUCAAAUUAACUAACAUUUAUUUAUUAAUUCAUACAACUUAGGUUUAAUAACGAUUUCCCCUACAAACUAGCUAAAAGAAUUUCAACCGUUUCUGAUUCAUUAUAUUUCAUAAAAUUCAAAUAUUACAUCAUAUCUCUAAUAUAAUGACAAACAUUAAUUCAAUAUUUUCGUAUUAUUUAUAUUUCAAAUUAUUUUAAAAAAAAUUAUCAAAUAUAUAAUACAUAUUCCUGAGUAAUUAUAUUUCAUAAUAUUUUGCAUUCAAAUAUUACAUCAUAUCCGUACUAUAAUGGCAAAUAUAAUUUCAACAUUUUCGUAACAUUAUCAGAUUAUUUAUAUUCCAAAAUUAUUUAUAGAAAAUUUGAAUUUAAAUACCUCCAAAAUAUGUAUUGUUAAUAACAACUUAAAUUAAAAAUUUUAUCGUAAUUGAAAUUCACAUUAAUAAGUUCAGUACGUCAGGUACUGUAUAAUUUACAUACACGUUACUUAUAUCAUCAAUAAACUACUCAAACCAUAAAUUCUCUAUAAUUUAAAUACAUAGUUCUUAGAAGUUACAAGUCGCUAAUGAUAACAAAAUGAUCGAAUUUGUUUAUAAUAAAAAUAUAUACAUCUAAGUGAUGACAACAUAAUUCACUUAUUUAACGCAGUCAAAGUUACAAGUGUCGUGUAAUUGAGAUUUGCAAUUCUUAGAAUUUAAUAGUAAUUUCAUUAUAACAAACAUAUCAAACAUACAUUAUUAUACUAUUUUCAUAUAAUCUUCUUUUUUCUUCAUUUCAUCAUAUAUAAAUUUUUUGUUCAUUGAGACCUUAUCAUCAUGUUGAUUUCUUAUUACAAUUAUGUACACGUGUUAGUUACUAAAAUGUGUUCUAAACAUUAUGAAUAGGUUGUCUAUAUUUGAUUAUUUUCUUUUCAUUAUAUUGUGAGUCAUCCUCUUCUUAUCCUUAGGUGGUAGGUGUUGUUUCUGAUGUGCUUAAUUUAGUUUGUCCACCAUCUGACCCUCCGAAAGUUCGGUUCCUAUUUUCAGUCGUGUUUUCCUUUCCUUCGUCGUCAAGAUCGUAAUCAUUUUUCCUAAGCAUUUUUGGAUUGCUUGAUUCCAAGUUCAGUUGUUAUCUUUGUUUUUUUGUUCCUUCUCUUCUUCUUUGUCAUUCUCUACUUUAUCAAGGUGCUCCUCAAAGUCUCUUGUUCUCUUACAUUCCAAAUACAUUGUAUUUUGGUUACAUGUACAAAAGAAAGUUUAAGUUUAUAUCACAUGCUUACCAUAUAUUCGUUAGUAUCUUGUUCCGAAGAACUAGGUUGCUCACCCUUGAUUUCUUAAAAAAAAUAUGCAAUUUGUUUCCUAGUUCUUCAAACUUUCUAUUCGUCUUCAACUCCACAUAUUUAAAAAAUUUAAGAAUAUCAUCUAUUUGUUUGAAUAUAUUUAAUUUAUUUCUUUUUUUUCUUAAUUUAACAAAAUUGAUUUAUUGGUUAAAUUGGUCAAGUUUGAUUGAGUUGAUUUUCUAUAGGUUACAAUGUAUUUGUACAUACUACAUGACAAUAUUAUUCUUUUCAGAUUAGUUCCAUAGUAUUUGACAGACUGUAUAGCAUAUGUUGCUGACACAAUUACAUUGUAAUUUAUGCUUUUAAAUAAUGUGACAAACUAUUUGUGUUAUAUCAUGAUCAUAUAUUCAAAUAUUAAUAUUUAUUUGCUCACAUAAUCAUAUACUUUUUCAAUCCAAAAAACUUAACAUUACGAUGGAUUUGUUACAAAACCAACAAUAAGAACGAUGUCCUAAAUAGUGUCAUUCAAUCACACGGUCGUUUAACUAACAAAACUUUAUAAUAACGAAUAGAAUUAAGAUUUUUCAACAUAGUAUAUGUCAAGUAUGAAUGAUGACAGAUUUGGGACACACACAAAAAGGUAAAAAUUUUGGACAUCAAGAUAAAGUAUUCAGUCGCCUGGGCAUAGGAUAAUCUAAUAUAUAUUCCAAAUACAUUGUGUUUGAAUAGCUAAAAAAAAGAGACAUGAUAUUGAAAAUAGCACAAAGACAACGUAUUUUGCAACAACAUUCAAAUUUGGUAAAUCUUAACUAAGUCUGCUAUUUUGUUGUUGGACAAGAUUGCGACAACCUUUUCUAUAAUAAUGGUAAAUAUAUACAAGAUUUUUCAGCUUUGUUAUAUUUUAAACAAUUUAUUAAAUAAUACAUAAUAUAUAUUUUUAAUAACAAUUUGAAUUUAAAUUUUAGAUCAUUCCCCUAAAUAAUGUGAAAUAUAAAUACAACAUUUUUUACUUUUUUAUAUUUUAAACAAUAUAUUUAAUAAUACAUCAUAUAUAUUUUUAAUUUUAAUUUUAAAAUUGUAAUUACGUCUCAAUGACAUUUUGCAAUUAUUUUGAAUUUUUUCUUUUAAGUUUCAUUUGCUAAGGAAUGAAUUACCUUGAAGAAGAAGAUGAUGAGGCACAAGAAUAAGAUAGAAGCCUUCUUCAAUCGUUCGUUGAACGCUUUCUUCAAUCGAUCAGAGAUUUUGGAGUGGGCGAAUGAAAUAAAUGUGGAUCGAAAGAAUGUUUUUCAAUGGAGGGAUGAUAGAGAUGAUUUUCGGAAGAAUGCUUUUUGGUGAAUGAACGUAAAUUUGUGUGGAGUGAAAGAAUGCUUUUCAAUGGAGCAACAAACAUAAAUUAAAAAAUUGCUAGGGUUUCAAACUGGAGAUUUGAUGCCUUCAAUGUUAUUUUCAAUGUUUGCACCGUUUGAAUGUGAUGUUAAAUUGUUGCAAACAAUGGGUGGAGAUUUGAUGGUGAUGGAUUUUUUUAGGUGGAAAAUUAGAAUUUUCAUAGGGUUUAAUUGGCUAGGCGAGUUUUUUUAAUUAAAGUGUAUUUAGAGUUUAUUUCAUUACUGUAUUUACGAUUUAAGUCUUUUAGUUAGGUAGGAGCAUUUAAGACAAUGCUCUGAUUAUUAUUUUUUUUAAAUUUUUCUGUAUUGCUAUUUUGUCGAUUUAAAAAUAUAUUUGUCAUUUGUCCAAACAAACCUCCUAUUUUAUCAUUCUUAUUGCCAGCCCUUUAAAAGAUGAGUUAAAACUGAAAAUUCUAAAAUACCUCAUUGAUUUACGGACUUACGUAUGAAAUUUGAUUGUCAUGUGAUUUUCAUAUAAUUGUCAUAUGAUUACGUUUAUUUGUAAAAAAAAAUUAGUUAGUUUUUUUAGAUAAUUACUAUCUAAUUGUUGUUUGAUUCCUUGCAUUUUUUUUAAAAAAAAAUUUAGUUAACUUUUUGAGAUAAUGAAUUGAUUACAUUUUAAUUAUCAUCUGAUUACAAUUUUUUGUCAUACUAAAUUUUGAUAUUGUUUAAGUUGCCUUCUAAUUGUCGGUUGACUAACUUCUACUCUUUAACUUCUCUAAUUGCUAUUUAAUAUUGAUUCUUUUUCAAUUGAUAUUGUAUUGAUUUGUUGUUUGAUUGCUAUUUGAUAUAGAUAUUAUAUUCAUUUGUUUUAUUAAUUAACUUCAUGUGACUUUAGUUUUCUUUUGCCAACACGAAAUGCCAAAUUCACCAUUCUCAGGGUUUGAUUUGAGAAAUUGAGCUUUUUAAGUACCAAAAACCUUCAUAUUUGCUGAUUAAAAAAUAAUAAAGAGAUUCAUCAUGCUUGAUUUUUAGUGUUGUCACAUGCCCCAGACGAAAUGGAGCGGUCGUCGUCCUAAAAAAGUUAGUUUUAAAAAAAAUAGGAGUCACUACCAAUCUUUUUUACAAUGUUAUUGGACGCCUAAAUAAAGUAAAUAAUUUUUUAAAAAAAAUGGUCUGCGAAAAAUAGAGUUGAAUUCGAAAGUCAUUUGUUUAUAGAGAUGGUAUUAGCACCCCACAACACUCAUUUAGAAAAACGGUAAACCUUGAAUUGAAAAUAUUUUUUAAAUUUAUUUUAAAACUAAUGCCUUAUUUUACAUUUCAUUACUCCAAUAUUUGAAACAAUGAUCUCAUAAAAUAAGUGGAAUGAUAUUCUAUUAAUUAGACUAUAUAUUGAGAAAAAUUUCUCACCUUAAGAAAAUUAGAAAUUAUUACAAUUUCUCAAAAUCUAUCAUAGACUAGUCUUCGAAUAAAUAUUUUUUUUCAAAUAUUGAUUCAAUUCAUUUUUUCUUGAAAUCAAAUCUCAGACACUCAAAGAUAUUGAUCCCUCACUUCUAAAAACUCUAGGAAAUCGAACUCCCAAAUUUCCUAGAUUCCAUCAUAAGAUUUUAUUUAAAGAAAACAAUUUAAGUUAUUAUAAAAGAUUGAUUUAAGAAACCUUAUGAAAUCAUAGGUUAAAUUUGAAGUUCUUCAAAAACAUAAAACAUUUAUAACAUUAUUGGCAAAUUUGCUAAAUGAUUAAAAAAAUCUUUAUUUUAAAACCUAAAAAAAUUUAAAUUGAAAUGAUUUUAAAACCUAACAAAAUUUAAAUACAGAUAGUUACGUUUAAAUGCAUCUAACAAUAAUUAUUGCAAUUAUUAUUAUUAUUGUGAUGUGAAUAAGUAAUAGAAAAGAAACAUAAUACCAACAAACAAAAUAAGGAAAUAAAAAAGGAAAGGAAAAGGAGAAGGAAAGUAUAAAUAAAGAAAGAAAAGAAAAUAACAACGGGUAUAAAAGGAAUAAAAACAAUAAUGAUAACAAAAAUUAUAAGAAUAAUAGUAAUAAUAAUUACAAUUAUAAUAAAUAAUAAUAUAAUAACAAAAGAAAACAGUAACAGUAAUAAAGUAAAAAAGAAAAUAAUAAUAAAAAAAACAAAUAAUCGUAAUAACGAUAAUAAUGAUAAAAUUUCAUUUAUUCCCUGUUCUUUUUCUAUAUUUUAGAGAAAAGAAAAUAAAGGUUAAGAGUUGGAAUUAAAAAAAAAAUAAUGAAAUACCGAUAAAUAAAAAAAAACGAAAAGUUUCCUUAUGUCUUUUUCUUUCUUCCUAUUUUUAAGAGAGAAGAAAAAGGCUAAAUUUUUUUUUAAAAUGAUAAUAAAAGAAAGAAGAAAGAGUAAAAAAUACUAAUUUUCCUACAUUUUCUUUUAUUUUUUCAUCUUUUAAAAAGAGAAGAAAAGAAAAAUAAGGAUUUGAAUCCCAAAAAAUUAAUUUUUGUAUGAGGUGCGGAUCUUUGGGAUUAAAUCCCUACCAAAUACAAGCUCUAAAAAUUUUCUUUCUAUAAACUCACUUUAACGAAUUUUUUCUCUAAGCAAUUUUCUCCCCCUUUCCAAAUGAUAAAGGUCUCUAUUUAUAAACUCUACCGCAAAUUAGAAAAAAUGAAUAAGAAUAAAAUCAAAUUUGGAUAUUACGUUAAUAGAACAAAUUUUUAUUUUCCUAAAAUAAAUUAAAUGAGAUAUUUUGAGAUUUUAUGAAAAAUAAAUUAAUAAAUUAAAUGGAUAUUAAAAGAUUUUUAUUUAAAAGUGAUUUUCUUUUUUUCUAAAAUAAUUUAAGUAAGUUAAAAGUGAUAUUAGAAGAUUUUAAUUAAAACAAAUUCAUUUCUAUUUUCUUAAAUCAGUACAGAUAAGAUAAAUGUGAUAUUAAAAGAUUUUUUUAAAACAAAUUGAUUUAUUUUUAUUUCCUAAAAUGAUAAAAAUUAAAUAUUAUAAGAUAUUAUAUGUUAUUACUUUUUUACCUUUUUAAAAUCAAAUAAAUAAGUUUAGUCAUUAUUACUAAUAUUAUUAUUUUAUAAAAAAAAUAUGUGGGAUAAAAAUAGAUGGUUACAUUGAGUAUAAUACAGUAAAUUUUAAUAAUCAUUUGAUUUUCAACUGAUUACCGAUUAAAGCUUUUUACUUUUGUUAAUUACUUAGUCUCAUCUAGUUGACUUUGAUUGUCAUAUAAUUAGUUUAUAUUCUUUUUCACAUGACUCUUAUAGUUUUUAAUAAAAAUUAUAAAAUAAGGUAUUAAUCACGUAACAAGCAAAUAGAAAUCACAAAAUUAUACUUUAAAAUAUUUAAUGAAAAUUAAAUUACAUGAAAAUCAGAGAACAAACACGUGACAAUCAAACAAAAAUCACAAAGUAAACCCUAAAUCCUACCUAAUAUAUAUCUAAUGAAAAUAACAUGAAAAAUAUUCAAAUAGCAAUUAGAAAAGAAAUCCCAACAUACUUAAUAUCAUGCAAUUAGAUAGUCAUCACAUGACAAUUAUAUGAAAAUCAGAUAGCAAUCAAACAAACAUUAGAUAGUAACCACAUGACAAUUUUUAAUUUAAACCAUUUAAUGAAGAAUAAACAACAAUUUUUCCUGCCUUUUGACUCAGAUCAAUUGCUUUAGCAGACUCUGCCAAAUUCGAUAAUAUUGUCGACCAAACACCCAAUGUACCAAGAGCACUAUGUGACAGUAUGUACGGUGAAUAGUUAAUUGCAUAUUAUGUGAUUUAUUGGGAAAUCAUGAGGAUGAUUAUUUACUGAUUUUGUUGCACAUGCUUUGGACUAACAGUGAUUGUUAGCUUUAGCUAUAUUAGGAUAGUAUACUCCCGUGCACGAUGUCCAUGGGGUUCUCCACCCUUAUGUGACUAUUAUGUGUUCUAGUUGCGGGUUCACUCUGUGUGAAACGUGUUCCUGUAGGCUCACUUUAUGUGAUUAUUAUGUGUUCCUUGGGUUCACUCUAUAAGACUGAUUAUGUUCCUGCGGGUUCAUAAGUUUUGUUAUGACACAGGGUAUACACCUAAUAGGAAGUUAACUUUCACCUAGUGGGUCGAGUAAUGAGUCCCUCUAGGAAUAUUCUAUGUAUUCAUCAUUUCUAUGUUUAACUUUCCAGGCAAAUGUAAAAGAGUAAGGCAAGCUAGCAAGUGACAAGAAAGAACUUGGCUCUGGGGUAAAACAGUAGCUUGACCCAACCAAAAUUAUGAAUAACCUAAUCAUGGUUAUAUCAAGUGAACACAAAUAUAUCUAUACUGAAGAACUACGUAACUUUAGUGGAAUAUGAUCCGUUAGUUAAUGAACGUUGAUUAACUCGAUUUAAAAUAGUUUAGCCAGUUAAUCUGGAAUCAUUGGAGCCCAUGAUCAGUAGAUCCAUUAACUUUUUCGACUACCUCAUAUGGAAUAAAAUUAGAACAAUAUGUUGGAUUGGUUCGAAUAAUUCAUAAAUAGGAAAUGAGAGAAAAAUCGAUAAGUAUAUUUGAUAUAGCUAUCGGUUGUCGUAGAGUUUUAUGUGAUUUGAAUGUAAAAAAUAUAGAUAAAAAUUCAUAUUCGAAAGCUCGAAAUUGAUGGAAAUGAUCAAAGUUCAAAAAAGUAAGAGGGUUGACUAUUGACUUUUGAAAAGUCAAACUUUAACUGGCUAUAAAUUCAAAUAAAUUUGAAUUUCGAAAAAAUGAAUGUAGAUUCAUGCUCGAGAGAUCGAAUUAAUCUAAGAGAUAAAAUGGUAAAAAAUCAAAAUAUUGACUUUUGAUUUGAAAAGCCAGUUUAAUUUUACUUGAAUGAUCAAAUGACUAUUUUACCAUUUGAUUAAAAUUAAUGAAAAAAUCAUACAUUUUGUUGGAUAAUCCUACUAACUCUCGGUGAGCUAUGUGAAGGUUCUUGGUGUUGACACCAAGUCCACUAAGAGAUAGUGAAUUGUUGCAUAAUUCCACUAAUUUAUUAUUGAGCUAAGUACUGGAAGUUCAUGGUGAUGACACUAAACUCACUAAGAGUUAAUGAUAGGUGAGAUGUUGGAAUUUAGUGAAUUUAGACAUGCAAUAGUUGCAUCUUAUUUGUCUCUUUAAAGAAGGUUUUUUGAAUGGUUAAUUGUCAUAAAUAUAACAAAACACCGAAAUAUUUACGAUCCAUGUAACAAAAUCAAAAAAUUCAUGAAGAUAGUCAUUUUUUAAAAAAAUUUCAGGUUUGUCAUUCAUUUCCAUCUUCCUUCUUCUCUUAUUCUUCUACAAUUUUUCUUUUAUAUUUUUUUGAAAUCGUGAUUUUUGUUUCAAUCAAUCAUAAAUCUUGUAUUUUUCAGCAUUUUUUGGUUCAAGAUCAUGUAUCAAAUAUAAAAGUUCUUGAAAAACAAUCAUUGACAUGUUGGUACAUGAUCAUUUAAAAUUGGUUAAACGAUCAUGUACCUUGAAAAAAAAAUUGUUCAGAUUUGGGUUCAUGUAUGUGCAUGAGUGACCAAUUAAUCACGUGUUGGUUGGAAAAUUUUUAGUAUUUUUCAUUGUGGGCUUUUUUCGUUUUCGAAAUUGUUAUAUAUAGUAUAAUCUUUUUUUUCUUUUUUAGUUUGUUAUCUCUUUUUGAAUGUGUUAAAAACUUUUAGCAAUUUUAGUUUAUUUUCUUUGAAGAAAAAAAACUCACCAAAAACUUCUCUCCGAACUAUCAACCAUGAAGAUUUUCUCCUCCAUUUUUCAUCUCUCUCAAAUCUUUCACUCAUUAGAUCUCAUAACUCGAUUCUAAAUCUGGAAAAUAGCAAAUCAACACUAAUGGUGAUUCGAUUCAAGUUCGAGAGAAGAUUACAUAUAAAUGGAAGCUACAAAGGCAUGAUUUCUUAAAACUCUAAUCCAAGUUAAUUAGGUACGUAAAUGCAUGUUAAUUUCUAAUAGGAUCAACGCAAUUAGAGUAAAUUUGUGUUGAAUGCAAUUAGACUAAUUUUUAUUCAAAUUGGGGUGUGCAUGUUUGUUUUUUCCAUAAGUCAAAAUGAAGAUUCUUGAAAAGAGAAAAAAAAAUGCAAAACAAGGAUGAACAUGGAAAAAGAGAAUGAAUACUAUGCAUCAAAAAAUAAAUAAUAAAACAAAAAACAAAAGAUUCUUGCAACAAUGCCAAGCAAUGAUCAACAUCAAAAGAGAGUGAAUUUUGAUCAUUUCAUUCAACUUCAACGGUCAUCAUUUUGCCACGUCCAUCAAUAUUUUCAUAAAAUUUUUUACUUCUAUAAUUCUUCACCUCCUUUCCUGAUAAAAUAAUACAAAAGAAUCUAUUAUAUGUAUUUUUCUUCUUCUUUUUUAUUUAUUUCUUAAUUAAUAGAUUAAAUGAAGAAUCAAAUUAGACAUAAAAAUUGAUAAAGAAAAUUUUUGUGUUUGGUUGAGUUAUAUUAGAACGUUUUUAAAUAUCGUAUAACUAUUUGAAAAGUCAAAUAAAAAAUACUUCUAAGAUAUUUUAAAUUUAUUUUAAAACUGAAUGACUCAUUUUAAAACUCUGAAUUCUUAUAAACGUGAAGACUAAAAAUUUAUAUUUUUGAAGAACAAAACAUAUACGAGAAUUUAAAAGAUAAAUUUUUCUAAAAUAAAGAAAAGCAAGCUUAAAAUUUAGCAUUGGUCGAUUGUAGUAUGCAUUUUUAUUCCUAGAAAGAAUUCAAAUAUUUCAACAUCAACUAAACCAUUGUCACAACUUUUUCCCUAUUCUAUUCGAUAUCAUGUAGAAUCCAACUUCUUUUGAAAAGUAAGAAAAAGAGUUUGGAAAGUAAUGAAAAGGAAGAGAUAAAUGUCCUUUUCUAGCCUUCAAAACAUUUAUCUUUCCUUGCUUGAAUCUAUUUUUUAAGAAAUUUUCUUAUCAUCAAUUUUCUACGAUUGCAUUCUUUCAAUUCUAUUGAUUUUAAUACUCAACCAAAUAAAAUUAUUAAGUUUGCUUUUUCAAAAUUACAAAUUAAGUACUCAAACUUUCAAACUUUAAUAGAUUAAUUCAUUUAAACAUAAAAUUCAAAUUAUCAUUUAAUAGAUGAAUUAAUUUAACUUUGAAUUUAUGUGAAAACAAAAAAACUCAAAAAUAGAUUAGACAUAGAAUGAUACAAACUUCAAAAUUCAUUUACAAAAUUUAUUAUCUAACUUCAUGUAGCGAUGAGCAUCCGUGGAUCAAGGUCGGUUUUUUACCAAAUCAUUACUAGUCGGUUUAGUAAUUGUUCUAACCGACUUAGCCCUGAAUGAGUACACAUCGAUCAUUGCUUGAUCAGUUUAAGCUUUUGAAAUUUUUUUAAAAUGUUGUCGGUUCAGAAUUUUUUUCAAACCUACAUCGAUCGUCAUCUCUACAGAUUUUGAUCGAUUGAUUUGAUUUUUCGAUUUAUCAUGCUCAUACAUGAAUACAUGUUUUCUUACUUCUUAUAUACAAAUAAAGUACAAAACUACACAAACUUUCGGUUACGAGCUUCGAGCUUCAUAUACUCGAAGCAUGAGUCAAAUGCUAGGAAGUUUGAUGCCAAAUAUUACAAAGUAGAACAGUUUGUUGCCCAAAACUUUUAUGUAGAAAAGAAAAUUAUGACAGAAUUUUGCAGUCUCAAAAAUUCAGAAAGCAUAAAACCAUUCAAAUGCUAACCAAAGUUUGAAUCUUGAAAUCAACUAUAUGUCACAAACAACAAACUGAAAUUUAACUCCUUAAGCAAGAGGGUAACUUCAACAACCAUUUUUAUUCUGUUUCAUAUAAAACUUCAUAUGAACAUCAAUCUUCAGAAAUGGUCUGUUUAAUCAAAAGAAAAAUGAAGUUGACAUAAAAGAAGGAUAGAAAGCCAUACCUACAUGAUUCGGAUUCUUUUGGACAGUUCGAAAGAGGCGUGUGGUUCUCUCCCAUGCUUAUCAUCUCCCAUUGCCAAUGGCAGCGAUCCUGCAGUAUAAAUACACAACCAAACUUCAUGACUUGGAGAUCAUAAGCAGAAAAAAAAGAGACCAUUAACAAGCUAUCUGUUUCCCUUCUCUUGCAACUUUUUAGCUUCUUCACCAUGUCGACAUGUGGCAACUGCGACUGUUCCGACAAGACCCAAUGCGUGUAAGUAGUUUUUACCUACAAAUUUAUCAGCAAAUCUAACUAAGAGUUUACUUGUCACAAGACUGAUUCUGGUAUGGCUACCAAAGUUGUCUUAAUAUUAAUAUUGUUCUUGGUUGCGCUUUCGGGUUCAAGCUAUAUCAAACAUGGCCAUGAAGAUUUGAUUAAGAGAUUAGUGUUUUUUUUUAGCAACGCUUGUGUUGGCUGAAUGAGAUGUUUCUCUUAAUACCAUGAAAGUAUCCAUUUUGAUUGUGUUGUGGUGAAGAAGAUCAAUGUUUUUCCUCAAAAUCAACCAAAACCUGUAGAACGUACUAUUGGUUUUAUGUUUUGUCAAUUGAAGGAAAAAUUUGCAUAGUUAAAUUCUUAUAAGAAGUACUGACAUGGUUUAUAACGACAGGAAACAAGGGAGCAGCUAUGGCGCUGUCAUCACGGAGAAUGAGAACAGGUAAUUGUUUCAGCUGAUUUUGAGCCCCUUUUCCCCCAAUGAGAUCUUAAAACUCCAAGGUAUGGAUAUGAGAAAGAAUCAAGUAAAUCAUAAUCAAAAGCAUGAGUGAAUUGAGAAGAGAAAAAAGUGAAAACAGCAAAGGAAGAACUUCACAACAAAUUAUUGACAAAAAGAGUUUUACAAAGCACCUGCCAUCUAAUGAUAUAUCUCUUGGUUCUGCAGCUCAUUUGAUGCCAUAGUUAUGGACUUCCCAGCGGCCGAGCACAACGACAAGUGCAGCUGCAACCCCUGCAGCUGUCCAGACUGUGGCUGCAACAAUUGAACACAUACAUCUGUUAUUUCAACUAGCACAGCUAUGUGAACGCCAGUAAUAAUGUAGCUGUGUUUGAAAAAAAAAAUAGUGUCUGUUUUAUGUUCAAAACCUCUGUUCUUAGCAAGAGGUAUGUUAUGAAUAAUGUUUAUUUCUGUUCUUCACCCACAGUCAUGUAAUGUUGGUCACUUCUGUGUCCAUGGAGUUAAUGGAUAAGUUAUACUAGUACACUCUCUUCCUCUCCAUCCAUUUUCAUUUUUGUUCCAUCUCAUUCUUUAUUCAAAUCGAAUUCAUGUUUAUAGAAUCAAUGAAACAAUCUAGAUGAGCUUCAGUACUUGGGAGAAACGUUACAGUAUAGAUAUUGUCUGUAUUUGAUAAUAAUAUCCAGACUCAAAAGGUCAGGUGGAAUGACAAAGGCUUAUAAAUUGAAAUAAUAAAAACUUUCAAAAUCUUGUGGAGAAUCAGUAGGCAGCCGAGGCACACUUACAAAAGCAUUGUCUUCAAGAUCUUAUUUGCUUUACAUCAGCUAUAAGCAGCCCACAACGACCAUCGUCCCAGCAGAAUAUAAUAUCAAAUUUCGGCAAAACAAAAACUUUAAACUAAACUCGAAUGUGGCAAACCGCUUAAACAUUUGUUCAACUCAACUCAAGAUUAUAAGGAAGGGGAAAAAAAGAGGAACACUUCAAAUUAAAAUGAGAUACUCCAAGUGAAGAAAUAAAUUGGUAUUAACAUGCUAACAACUUAGUAAGUUUCCAACGUAUAAAAUAAAAUGAAAAGAAGUACAAAAUUGAAACAUUCGUCAAACAUAACUCAAUUGAGUUGUUACUUAACCAAAUUCAAACAUAAUUCAUUAGAUGGAAGAAACUACAAAUUUAACAUAUGGAAGUUAAAAUUGUAAAUGAAACAACAACCAUUUUGAAUCCAGUUUGAAUGUAAUAAACAACCAUUGAUGUUCCAAUCAAUAACUUACUCUCGCCAUAUAAAAAAUAUCUAACAAUGCUACAGAAAAGAACAAAUCUAACUGAACAAUUGCUUCAAGAUUGUUCUGUUAUGCUGGUUCUAAUCAAUGCAGUCAAAUGCCAAUUCAUUUAUUUUCAAAACGCAAGCCUAGAAAGCAUAGUUAAUCACAGACCAUAGUAUCUUCUGUCACUUUUGUCUCUCUUUUCUUGGGUAGGAAUUAGGACACAGUAUCUUCUCAAACUUCUUCAUCAAUACAAGACCAAGGGACAAUAUUAGGGACACCACUGAGGUCUAAUGCAAGGAGACCCACUCUCUCUUGUUCUUUUCACAUUGGUGGUGCAUUGUCUCAGCAGGAUGCUCAUGAAGAGCAUCAACUCAAACAUGAUUGAAGGCUUAGGUAUUAAAAACUUGGGUCUUUCAAUUAAUUUCUGGAUGGCACAAUUCUGAUAUCUUCAUCAUACUAAAAGAAAAGCUUACAAGACUAUUUGAGAUCAUCCUAUCUAUUAGCAAAGUUUGUUCUCCGGCUAAACAUGAUUGAAGCCGGUUAAUUCUUUACCACUAGCUAAUCCAAAAGUUUUGUUGAGGAAGAGCUUUAUAUUUAAAAAUAGAAAAACUGAAAGCAAUAUUGAUAUUAUAUAUGCUAAUUUGUAUAAAAUAUAUUUUAUAACCAGCAUAGAGUUGAGGAGCUCCAACUUCAUGGACCUUAACUAAAUCAACCCUUGCUUUAGCUGAAGCUUUUUGGAAAGUCAUCCACAAUUCACAAAGCCCACAUAAUCUUCUUUUCUAGGUGGCGCUUAGCAAAAAUAAUUCACCAAUUCAAUGAAUAGAAACUCUAAGCGUAUUUUAUAGGGUGAUAUUUACGUGCAGACUGAAAUACAUUUAUCUUCGUACAUCCCCUUUGAUAAAGAUAUACACACAAAAAGAUAAUUAAAACUUGCAUCACUUUUAGAGUUAAUAAUAAAGUGUUGAUUGAUAUUUUAAAUAAUUACAAAUACAACCAAAUCUAUAAAAGCUCUAUUGUUGGACGAUAUAAUUUUAUCACAAACAGACUUCGAGAACUAGAUCUAGAUUUUGUUAUAACUUCAAAUUCUCAAGUUCUUUUGUAUUGCGUUAUCUGUUAAUAGUUUAAGCCUAAAUCCUAUAUUCGUAAUUUAUGAUUCAACACUUGAGCAAUCGCACAAAGAUAGAUGUAAUCCAACAUACAUUACAUAUAUUUAUCUAUCAUGUAUGGUCAUCAUGAUGAUUCAGAAUUGAAAAGCUCUAACAGUAGGCAUGUCCAUUUACAGCUUGCCCUUUUCAAUUGGACUAGGACCAACUUAUUGUGAUUAUCUAGCUACACCUUGUGUAGGAUAAAAUUCGAGUUUAAUCAAUUCAAAUGAUUGGUUUAAUAUUACUGAAGUCUACUACUACAAGGUCCGGUUCAAAACUUCAGAUCCAACAAUUCGAGAAUUGCAUAUUUAGAGCAUAUGACAUGAUAUGGAUGCAGAAUAAAGAAGAAAUAGUAAGAAAUUUUGAAUAAUAUGAGGAAACUAAUACAGUAAGUCAAUAACAAAGGCCCGAGCCUACAAAAAUACGAAGCCAAAUUGUACUUACUGCAUUGCAGCUUUGGCUAUACCUCCUUUCUCUCACUUUAUUUCUUAAUUUUCUUUGGUAUCUGUAUCUCUCAAAUAGCUAAAUUGUAAACUAGCAGAAAAUCAAAUCUUUCAUUUUAUUAGGUUAUCAAAUUCAGACGUUGAAUCCUUCCGCCCGAAGACACUUACGAUGAGCCUCGAUCCAUUUUCCACAUGCUUCUUCACCAUGCUCCACUAUGCACUCAUCUCUAAGCUUCUUAGUAUCGGGACAAGCACAACAUAUCUUCUUUUUUGGUUUUCCAUCUGGGGUAGACUUGAUCACUGUUGACGCUUGGUCAAGUUUCGAUUCCGGCAACGCUAUGGCUGAUGAAGAAUUUACAACAGGUAAACCACCCAUGCCACAAUUUCUCAAGGAAUGCAGUCUUAAGAAAAAGGGAAGGAAAUCCUGAAAACUGCAAGCAGAAAAAUAUGAUCAUGAAGAACAUCAAAUUAUAUCAUGGUAAAUCUUACUUAAUGGGCUACUGAAUCAUAAACUAGUGGGGGUGGUGCCUCUCUAUGUACAUAAACUAAUUGAAACCAGUUGAGAUAUGCUUAGAUUUACAAAUUUCAUAUUUUACUUGAACUUGAAGAGAGUCAUCAAAUAAGAAAACAGAAGACAAGGACCUUCAAUGAAACACAUCCAAAACACCCCAACUCAACUAUACCACAAAUAAAUCAUCUGAUCUUCCUAUUUGAUUUCUCAUCAAACAACCGAUAUACUGGAAAGAUAAAAUUCCAUAGAGCCAAAAGUAAGAACCUGAAAACAAAGUAACAAUCUUGUUUGCUAAAACGGAAAAUUUUUCUUACAGGCAAAAAUUCUGGCAGCGAAACGGAGAAAACCAGUAGGGUGAACAAGAAGCAGAGAAAAAUUGGAAGCUUACUUUUUGAACCUACAGGCAGACGAUUCCCUAGAAACCCAUAGUUGAAGAAAAAAGGAAGAAUAGAGCUUUAGACAGCGUCUAAUCAAAGCAAUUCAAAGAAAUUCUAUAUCUAUACUACGGAUAAAAUUAGCCAAAAGGGAGAAUCUUUAGGUUCCUUUAUGUGCAUAUUUGAGAAAUUUUGAAAUUUUUAAGGUCACUUUUGUCCGGUGAUUUAAAGUAUGUUUGAGGGUGAUUGUUGGAGUUAUGAUUUUAGGAAAAGAAAUUUAGAUACAAUUGAUUUUGUAACAUUGAUAUUUUUUAGCAAUUAAACUACGUUUGGUUCCACAUUUUUUUAAGUGAUUUUCAAACAUUUAGAAGUGAUUUCGAAUUGUAAUGUUUAAUUCCAAAAGUGAUUUUGAACUACUAACUUACUAAAUAGGAUAUUUUAUAUUUGAAAAUUUAUAUAACUAAAUAAAAAUAAUAAUAAAUAUGCAUGACAAAAAUAAAACAAAAUUCAAAACAUAUAUCACAUUCAAUCUAGAAAUGUUUGUAUAAUUGCAAAUACUUAAACUAGAUAUUAUCUUGAAACACAAAUCAUAUAACAAAGACAACAAAACAUAAGAAAUUGCAAUAAUUUCCCACUCCUCUUCCAUCUCCCUUCCAUGGCAAGAAGUUUCACUAUCUUUAACAAAACUUAAUGUUUCUGUCAUCACUUGCUUGAUAGCUAAUGAAAGAAAUGAUGCAAUGUGAAGUGUCAGAAGUGUCACAACAACAAUCUUCACCCGUUUGUCAUUAAAAAUGAUAUAUAUGAAUAAUAAAUAAAACUUUGACAGCAAACAACUUCAAGAGGACAAAUGAACAAACAGAAAAGAAAAAGCCAGAGCCAAAAAAAUAAUAAUAAAUAAACUCUAAAACACUCAAUUUAAAAAAUGACUUCAGAAGAGAGAAUUUAUGCUGAAGUUGUUGCAGGAAAGCAAACUCCGUAUCGUUUCAACAAUUUAUCAUUUUGCAAUUCAAUAUCAAAUUUUCAAAGUUCAAUAAAUGGAAACUACAUCAUAGUUCAAUUAGAGAACCAUCAAAAGCAAAUAAAACUACGAAUAAAGCUUAAGGGUGCUUCCAAAAUUUGAAGGCAUAAGCUUGCUAUUGCACAGGACUUGAUUCUAAGAACUCAAUUCUUCAAAACCGUUCACCAACAAAACACCAGACACAACUGAACUGGGUAGGAUGAUGUGGACGAAAAAUAUCAUGAGACGAAGUACUAAUACGUUAAUAACCCAUGUUAGAGAAUUGAUUAACCCAUAUGAUAGAUUUGCAAAAACAAUCCAAGGGUUUAGAGUCCCUUGCUUGAUAGCUAAUGAAAAAAUUUCAAAGAAUAAAAGACCACGUAGACUAACUUGAUUUUUCAAUCAGGAACACAAUCAUAAACAGAGCCCACGAAAAUUGGGGCAAUUUGACUGAUUACGAGAGAACCUAAUUGGAGUAGCUCCGACGAGUUUUAUCAAACAGUUUCACAGAAUCAUAAAUUCUCCAACAAUUUCAGCAUAAAUUCUCUCUUCCGAAGUCGUCAAAUUCACGAAGCAUUUUAUCAAACAAAUUCUAGGUAGCAAUCACAAAUGGGGUUCAGUAGUUAAAGCAUAUAAAAUCAGCAUAAACACAAUAAUCAAUCCCCCCUCUUAUAAACAUUACAACAAAUGAAAAUUGAGACACGCCCACAAAAGAAUCGGAACAGCAAGACACGACCCACGUUCCAAUUUGCCACAUAGCGUUGUUAUUAGGCUAUGAAAACAAAAUCAAACAACCACUCCAUUUUUUACUUUUUUUUUCAUUGAGAAAAUCCUAAUUAAUGCUUUUCAAGCGAGAAGAAAGACGGAGCUGGAGAUUGGGAUAAUACCAGAAACAAAGGGAGAUGAAAAUAAAUGCAAAAUCACUUGAACGGAGGCCGGGGCGGCACGAGCGGAAGAAAGACAGGAGCUGCCAGCUGAACGGGAGGCAGGGGCUUCGGCUUGUAGGAGAAGAAAAGAGCGUGGGGUAGGAGUACGGUAAGUUGACGAUUAUUACCAAAAAUUUUGGUUUGGAAAAAUGGACCAAUGUGAACCCAAAAAAUAAUAAAGAGUAAAUUUUCAUAAAUACACCCAAAAAAAAUAGAUGCAAACAGAGGAAUUAGAUUCAAAAUCUAAAAUGCUCUCAUACAUCAUAAAACAUUAUAAAUAAAUUAUGUUAUAUUUAUAAUUUUUUUUUAUAAUUAACCUAUAUUUACGUCGUGGGUAAUAAAAUCAAAAAAUUUAGAAGGUCGGUAAAUCUUUUUCAUAAAUUUUAUAUUUGUCUUUAAUAUUUUCAAAGAUUCGUCAUUUCUCUUUCUUCUUUCUCAAAUUCUCUCCACUUUCAGAUUUCUUCAAUUUCUCUUAAUUUUCUUUCUUUUAUUUUUGUUCAUCUUCUCUUUCUUUCCUACAACUUCACUUUCAGAAUAUUAAGAUUGUUUAAAUAUCAUUUUAAUACGAUCUAAAUUAUCUCUUAUCCAGUCAACAUAAUCUUUUAGAUUUAAAACAUUUUUUCCAUCAUUAAAAAGAACUAUACAAUCAUGUAUAAUUUCCUACACGAUCAUGUAUAAUUUCUUAUACAAUCGCAUAUCAGGAUCGUUUAGAAGAAGAAUCACACGAAACAUUUUUUUUUCAUUGUUAAAAAAACUACACAAUCGUGUACCAUUUCCUACACGAUCGCCUAUCACGAUCAUUUUAGAAGAAAAAUUGCACGUACGCAUGUGAUUGAUUAAUCAUGUAUCGACUAUAACAUUUUUUAUAUUUUUCAUCAUGAACGUGCGAACUUUUUCCAUUUUUGUAAAUUAUCAAAAUUUAAUAAAUUUGUCAGGUGUUACUCUUAAUCUUUUACAAAACCACAAAAUAGUUUUGAACGACCAUAUUUCAUUAAUUAGUUAAUUCAAGAUAUUUAAAUAAAAGAUCCUAAUAAUUAAAUGGUUUUAAAAAAUAAUUAAAGAAAAUUGUCUCUUUCUUUUGCUUUAUUUUACCCUCAUCCAUGUCACUUUUCCUUUUAGGUUUUUUUCUUUCUUUCUUUCUUUUCAAUGAAUUGAAUGAAAGCAUAAGAAGGAUCGAGGAGAAAUCGAAUCUAACCUUAAAAUUGAUAGGAUAAGCACGUUGUUAGUUGAUAUUUCUACUACAUGCAACAACUAUGUUAAUGCAUUUGAUUUACACAUUCAUCAAUGCAUCAACAAAAAAUUACAAAUAAGUCAAAAUUCAAAGCAUCAAAAAUAAAAAUAAAAUAGUUUUGUUAUGGCAUUUCUCCAUAAUUUUUUGUGUUUCAUAUCAUCCAACAAGUUCCAUGAUCGACCAAUUGUACUACAAUGUAAUCAAGCUCUUGGAGCCUCCCCUCUUGAAUAUAUUAAUUCAAACCUUAAAUCAUUCAACCAUUGCCUCCCUUCCCUCAAUCUCCCUACCACUGUUUAUAGCGAAAUACACAGUUACUAGCUCCUUAUGCCCUUACUAAUAUCCCCAAGUCCAAGAAAUCCUGCAUUACUCAACUUCUUCAGCACCUGCACUACUCUCCCAUGAAACCUCAAUUGAAGCCAUCAAGCUAUGACUCGAUCAAGAAUUAGGAACCCUUUUACAUUCACUUACAGAACUUCACGUCCCGGGCAUUUUUCAAGCAAUGAUUCCAUACAAGAAUUAGGAACUUCUUUACAUUCACUUACAAAACUUCAUACCCCGGGCAGUUUCAGAAUUUUCCAAACUUUGGUCGGCUUCCAAAUCCUGUUUACUCACAACAAAUAAAGAAUAUUGAUCGGUGACAUUGUGAGAUUGUGAGAAUUGAGAAAGAAUAUUGAUCAUUGUUGUAAUCGUAAUGUAGUACUAAACUUAUCUUCUUACAAUACAAAGGGAACCAAAUCUCGUCUUAUAAAAAGGAGAUAGCAAACACAAUAGAAGAAAAUUCAAUGAAUGAAUUAUGACUCCAGUCCUUGAUAAAGCAAUUGAGUCAAGUUGCACGUGGUAGAAAAGGCCACAAGGGAAAAUGUUCCUACUGUUUGAAUAAAUUGUGAGGCUCUUACAGAAAUACUAGCCCCAUCAUAAUACAAUAUGCCUCUUGUUUCCUUAUCUUCUCUAACCUGUUAUGAACAUGGCCAAUGCCCCCCCCCCCCCCCCCCCCCCCCCCCCUCCAAAUCAAAUCAAAUAUUUUGAUUUGUAGCCUUACUUAUGAGUGAAUCAAGCCUUGGGUCAAUCUUUCCAUUGUAUUGCCUUUCAUUGGCAUUGAUUCGAUUGAGUCUUCCAGUCAUCAAGAAGGUUCUUCAUGGACUCUUCAAACUUCUUAGCUUGAGAUCCAGGCUUCAAGAUAUUGACAUCACUCCAUUGUGAGCAGGGAUCCAUCCACCAACUCUUCCGACCCGUGCACCAUGCUCCAGGAAGAAGUCGGUUACGACCUCGCUUCAAGAGUUCUUGAUCGACCAUGUCCAGCACAGAGUCAUCUUUAUGAAAUUCUCGAGCAAAUGCAGCUCCGCUUUCAGCCAUGACAUUGAAGUUUGAUACAUUGAGGAAAACCGGUUCCAUCUUUGGAGGAUCAUCCCAGAUCAUAAAUCUUAGAUCACUAUUAACAGUUUUGUUCUUGAACUCAUUUGAAUUGCAAAUGACAGAGUGAAAGUAUCCUUCUUCUGAUAAUACGAUGUUGUUAAAAUACAUAAGAAGCACCCGAGGAAGGUUAUCCCACCCAAGAACACAGAAUUCAAGAAAUGAUCGACUAAGGACAAACCAAGGGGAACCUGCAAAUGAUAAGGUCUUAGAUACAGUAUUCUUUAGUGAGCAGUAGAUUAAGAAGAAAACCAUAGAUAGUUAUCUAAAUUUAAAGAAUACACUAGGGACGAAACAUAAAAAGAAAAAUCAACUUAACCCGUGAAAAUUUUGAACGCAUCAGGUGUUGGCCGCUUCUCAGUAGCAUGAAAUAUUUGAGUUCUCCUUGCCAAAUACAACCCUGGAUCAACUACAAUUGGAUGAACCCUCUGACCUCUGGCAUUACCAAACACUGAUAUUAUUAUAGUUCAAUUCAAGCAAGAACAGUAUAUAAUGCUAAUGCAGAUUGGUUUUUCUUACUCUUUCCACCCAAGGUCGCUCGUGUGAUCUAUGAAAUUGAGAUCCCUACUAACAGAUGAGAAGACAUGUGAUAGAUCUGAAAGCACAUAUAAGAAAACGUUACUGUGCAAGGAAAAGGAAAGCUAUCCAUGGAAAUCAGCAAGUCGAAUAACUUUGAAGACUUCCCAGCCUAAAAGAUUUGCAUGAUUAAUAAGGCCUUUUUCAAGGUUUUUAAGGUGGCAAAUGCACUGAUGCACAAGAUGAAAGAGAAAACAAAUGGCUUGAAAGAGAUAAGAUACACAACAAAUAUCCUACAACUAGUUUUUUGAACUAACGAGUCCCAUAUAUAAGUAAUUCUUAUAAAAGUUUAAAAGAAAUCACCCACUUCAAUACAAGUCUUCUCCAAAUUUAUCAAUCACAGUGAAUAAUUAUAUAAACAAUAUCAUUGACGUUUCCUUGAAAGUGUUUUCCUCAUCUUUUCAGGUAACAUUUGAGCUUUUAGACUAGCAUACAUGUAACUCUACUGAUCUUAGGGACAGUCCCUAACCCUACAAUGUUUGAUUCAUAGAAUAUUUCAUAUACUAUUUGUAGAUGAACAACGUUGGUUUUAAUAUAUGACCUAAAUGUCACAAUGCAUCAUUACACCAUUAUUCAUCUUGGAGGUUCAAAUAGUGAAUAUCAUCAAUAUUAGCAAACAUUUCUAUGUAAUACUCAUACAAGUCAGUGAAAGUCUCUUAUGAUCCAAUGCAUUAACCUGUCCAUUCUUUGCCCCUACCCUAUUAUGGCCUCUGUAACAGUCCCACCUUUAAAGGGAAAGAGGUAAAAAUGUUCCCCAAAAGAACAACUCAAUAAAAUUGAAACUUCAAACUUGGCCAGAAAUAUUUGCUUCCUCAAAGAAAAAAUUACUAGUGAUUCUAGUCUAAGAGAAACCCUUUAUGAGACGAGAUCAAGAUAAAAUUACAAGCAGAACGGAUAUGACAUCCAAACUUGAUUAGGUAUCUAUGGAAAAAGAAAAAAAAAAGUGAACUGAAUGUUCUAGGCCUCUGGCCUCCUAUGUAGUUAAGCCCAAUACAAAGCAAUGAAGUGAAGAAGUUACUAUGACAGUGGUUCAAAUUAAGUACCCGAAAGUGCAAUCCAGUUUCUGCAUAUCACUGUAAAACCCCAAGGGCUCAAAAGGACGGUAAGAAAAAACAUCAACCUAAAAUAAUCCAUCAGUUUCCUCAUAUACAUACAUGGCGAAAGUGCUUAUAAUCUCUAACAGAGUAAUUCUAGAGGAUUAACUAUCAUAUGAAGACUUCACAGAGCAAUUGACUCAAUGAAUAGGUGUUUUCAAGGAUAAGCAUUGAAUAUCUCCCUCUGCUUGACCCAACUAAUUCAACCUUCAUUAUUUGAUCAAUUAAAAAGAGUUGGCUUCCUAUCACAAGAAACAUACAAAUACUUUUUCUUGAAUAAGAAGCCCCAAAAACAUAAAAUACAAUCCUGCAAUCUUUUAAUCAGUUAAAAAGAUCCUAAAAUUGGCUAAGCCUAUAAAAAUCCUUCAACUAGCUGUUCAACUAAGUUAACUAUAAGGCCCAAAACAAUCAUCAUAAUAUAACUAAUAAAUCGGAAAAAUCAAACAAUCAAAUAAUCAAACAAACAAACGAAACAUUAACAGCAAUCCACAAAUUUGAUAAAAAGAAAAAGGAUGUCAAGAACUAUUUUAAUGUCCCAAUUGGCGUAUGACAAUGAACACGACAAGAAACAAUUACCGAAUUGGCAUUACCAUCCUGACUGAUCAGCGGGUAAUCCCUGGCACUCAAAGUGAUAAACCAGUCCCAACCACUCUCAAGUUUCAGAAGAAUCGAAGCAGCAUGAAGAAUCGUGGCAAUGUUAGAUGACCCCAUAUAGCUGAUUCGAUUGGGCUUUCCAACAACGUCAACGUUUUCAAAGGCACGAAUAGCUGGCACCGACUUCACCGCUACGGCUAGCUGCAGCCGCUCCUCGUUGGAAGCAUCUGCCGCAAGAUGCAGAAGGUACCGGUUUCUGGGGUGGUAGACAGCAAGCAACAGCCUGAAGAGUCGGUCCUUGUCACCGCGGCCACCGGAAAUGUAAUAGGCAAAAGCAGGAGGAUAUGGAGCUCCAUGGUGAACUAUUGAGGGAAUGGAUCGCGGAGAACUGAAGGCAGAAAUGGAAGAGAACAAGAGAAGGAGAAGAGAAAGGAAAACGGCAGAGAAGAGGGUGAAGAGCCAUUUUUUCUCAGCUCCCAUGACGAAGAUCGUGGUCCUGGUUUUAGUUUUUUCACUUUAUGGUGAUGGGAAUUACAGCACUCUGAUGAUGAUGACGACGAUUCAACUGGGUGGGGCAUAUGGGUAAACGUCAAUUCGAGAAAAGAGGCGAGUUUGAGAGUGAAUUUAGAUUUUCAGAAUCUUCUAGGGAAAUGGGUUGUUGGUUUGGUAGAUCUUCGAUUCUUUGGCGAUUCCAGUUCAGAGAGAAGCAUCCUUCGAAGAUCUGGGAUUCAAAACACACAGUAAAAAGAUCGAAAAAUGUGAAAUAUAAAAAGAUUGCGACCAAUACAAAAUAAAAGUGACUCGAUAACUAAUUAAUUUCUACACGCAAUUAACAGUAACCCAGUCAUCCACACACCAAAAAUAAAGCCAAGCACAUGCAGAAAGAAACUAAACAAGACAUAAUAAUAGUCACGAAUAACAGCAUAACAAGCAUGGAUCAUUAGAUUGCAAUACGAUCACAAAGGUCGUCAUGCUCUGCAGAAAAGGUCACAUGAAUAACUGCAUAACAAGUAUGAAGUAAACCAAUCGUAAUUGAAAACCUACCUUGUUGAAACGAAAUGAAGAGUCCCGUGGAAAUUUCGGAAGUUGCAAUCGUCCUCCUUGCAGUCAAAAUCAUAAGAAACCGGUACUUCGGGUCAGAAGUAGCAAUCAGGGUAUAGAUCGGCUCAAAUCGCAUCAGUUGAAGUCGAAGUGGUGGGUCGUCGAUUCUCUCUACGAUAAACAAAGAAAACGUGGCUUCACCUGGAUUUUCUCUCCGAUCGCUUAUCGAGACUAGUAAUUUGUCUCCGAUUGUUGCAGUCGAAAUCGUUUUUUCUCCGAUCGAGGGUUCGGCUGGAUUUUCGUCGUCGUUCAUCUCCAUGGGCUUCUACCGUGGGCCAAUUCAGUGACGUAACGGGCUGGGUCGGGUCGGUUUUGAAAACCGUCCAGACCCAAGAUCGAUUAUGUACGAGUCUACCACGGAUGCCGACCCAACCUGAGUCAAAUUUGACUUGGGUCGGGUCUUUUUUUAAAAAAAUAUUAUUAUUAUUUUUAGAGUACGGAGUGGAGUGAGCUAAUUUUAGUUGAAAAUUAAGAUUUGGAUUUCAAACAAAGGAAAUUGGUAUAGAUAGCAAAUUGAAUGACUUUAAAAAAUAUCGAAAAACUAAGAAUAGUAAGAAUUAUAGCAAAGUGUUUACACUACGAUUUCAUAAUACUAAUGGACCGUGAGAGAAUUGCAACUAUUUUACUUAAUCUUUUUUCUAUCAUUUUAAAAAUUAAGAUUUAGUUAGUAACAUAUAUCUUUUAUAUAUUUAUAUAAAAUAUGAUAUAUAUGUUAGGGAUAUUUUUUAAAAUAGUAAAGUAAAUUAAAAUAUUUACAAAUUAUAGCAAAAAUUUUAUGCUAUCAAUUAUAGAAAUUGAUAACGUUCUAUCAUUGUGUAUCAAUGAAUGCUGCUAUAGAAGGAUAUCCGUGUUUAUCAAAGUUUGUUAUUGAUAGAAUUUUAAAAUUUUGCUACAAGGUGACAAUUUCCUUUUAUUUAAAUUUGUUUGCACAAAUUUGUUAUCAACUAUCAAUUUUUUUAAAGAUCCUAUGUUUAACUCUUAUGGAUAUGCAAAUUUGUGAUAUCUCCGUUUACUAAUUUCAAUAAAAAUUUAAUUCUCCACAUGUAUCUAUUUAGAAAAUUUAAAAAAAAAAAUCACACCAUUUAUUUUAAAGAAAAACUACGAGAUUUAUCAUCGCAAGACAUGUUGUUUUCAUUUUCUUGAAAAAGGUAAGAAGAAAUUUAUGGAGACCAAAAAGAGUUGGGAUGAAAAGAGGAGGUUAUCUUUCAAUAGUGAGACAAGAAAUGUACCAUGGUAGCAAGAAUUAAUUGGUUGAGACUUUUUGUUAUAGUAGAGUUUUUGGGUUCACUAAUUUAUUAGCAUCUAAUGUAUCUUCACCGUACACCAAAUAUCACCAAGAGCUAAGCAAUUCAGUAAAGACAUCCAAGACGUUGAAAAUUUAUCAUGAUUGGUUUUGUUAAGACUAUCUUAGUUUGAAAACAAAUAAACCAAAAGCUACAAAUAGGAUUAUGCUCAAAUAUUUUGGGUGUGUACUUUGAGGUGGAGAUUUAGGGGAUUAGGAAAAGGGCUUUGGCCUGAAAUUUUUCUACUUUAUCUUCUCAGAACCUACAAACUUUUCUAUUUCAUCUUAUUAUAAUACUUUGAUAGGGAGGGGGCUUCGAGUUGUAACUUAGAGAAAAAAUAAAAAUCUGAAGAAAAAAAAACUACACAAGUAGGACUUAAUCUUUGUUUGGAUGAGGGUUGACAAACAUAGUUACCACAAACAUAGUUACCACAAACGUAGUAUUAAAUGGUUUUGUUUAUACAUAUUAUAUAAAGACAAUAAAGUUGAGGGGGGCUCGAGCCCCCCGGGCUUAUACUAAAUCCAUCGAUGAUCAUAACACUAGGAUUAUUAUAAUCCUUUUCUCCUAUAACUCUUUUCCUCCCCCAAACGCACCCUAAGAGUGAUUUUUUAAGCCAAUGUAGAGUCAUUCCAAACACAAAGGGAUUAUGAAACAAGUCAUUUUCCCAUUACUAUGAACUAACAAGUGUAUUUGGGAAGGAUAGAGCACCAAAAAAUUCAUAUGAGCCUUUAGUUGUGAUGGUGCCAACUUUUUUUCCUAGAAAUAAAGGAUGAGGUUCGACUAGGAUUACAAAAAUACCCCAACCUAAAUGAUGAACAAACCUCAUUACUUGAGGAUCCAAUGAAAAAUGAUUGGGUACACAUGUCCAUGGUGAGCAUCAGUGUAUUAGAUAUGUCUAUAGGUAGAGCAAGUGAGCAACGAAAUCAUCUAAAGGUAGUAAGAGGAAAUUACUAACAUUCCGAAAUGCAAUGAUUAACAUCGUGCAAUCAUUUGCAUUCAGCACACAUGGACAGACUUGUUGCAUGACAAACAUAGAAGUAUGAGUUGCUAGAAUUUUGACGUCAAAAGGAGGUAGUUGAUGUCAUAUUUCAUAUUGAAUGGAUGUUUGAGGAUGAUAAAUGUGAAGUAAUUGGUUUGAUUGGCUUGAACAUACGAAAGACAAACUUUUUCCUUGUUGUACUAGAAGAGAAUCGAAAACGAUACUGCAAUUUGCAUCUUGCUUGUUCAUUAUCAUGAACUCAUUCUAAUUAAGCUUUAAUAAUGUGACUAGAAUUGACAAUUAGGCUAGGAUCAUGCAAUAAAAGGUCCAUACUCCUAUCUAAGUAUUGCUAGUGAUAAGAAUUCAUCGUUUUGAGUACAUGAGUUUCAUAUUAAGUCCGGCGGCAAGAAUGUAUUGCUACAUUCUUUUCGCCAUCUAUUUAGUUAAAUCCUGAUCAUCAUGUUUCAAGUGACAAUAGUCAAUACUUUAUCAUUUCUCUCGAAUAGGAUAAGAUAUUGAUUGCUACAUUAACAUGACAAAUAAUGUCGACAUCUAGAUUCUCUAACAUUAACUACUCCUUACAUCAUUUACCCCUACUUAAACUUAAAUAAUUAUGAAAGACAAAGAAAUGCGAGAAUGAAAGUAGAAAUAAAUUGCAUUCAAACUUCUCUAGGCUUCUCGGCCAUAGAGUUCAAAUUACAAAAAAUUACAAAUGAAAUUACAAAAAUGUGUGUCAAGCCACUAAACAUGAUUUCUCAGACUCGUUGGCUCUGCUUUUUACCUAUACAUUGAGGGGAAGCGAAAUGGAGGAUCUUUCAUCUAUGUUCUAAGCUCUCACCUAAAACAGAGAAAGAAAAAAUGGAAGUUGGAAGUGAACUUGCUCUUCCGUAGAUUUUGCACAUUGUUCUUGAUGUUGCACUCUAUUUCUAGGUGAUGAUUGACAUGACAUAUCAUAGUCUGGGUUCCAUUAAUUCUUUGAAAAAGCUACUUUGCGCUAUAGAUGUCACAUUCAUCAUUGUCUAACAUUAGCACCAACUAUUUUGUCUUUUUAGUGAUGUAGAACGCCUAGCUUCCUUCUUUCAAUCGUUUUGUUGGUCGUCUUGUAUGCUUCUUCGUCUGAUGUUUGUCACUUGGCUACUCCUCUCUUUUUCAUCUUAUAAUAUUCUAUGUAUGCACAUGAAAAAUGCGAUAAACAAACAAAAGCUCUUUUAUAACUUGUAAUGUGUAACUAAGUUAUUUGAUCUAUUUAACUACUUGUUUUCUUCAUUUUUCAUUAUUCUACCUAAAAAGCUAUAAUUAAAAUUAUAUAUAUAAAAAUUCGACGUAAAUGAGGGUAAAAAGUGAUAGUUAGAUAGAAGGAAAAAUGAAAAUUUUAUUGCAACAUGACAUGUAUUUUUCGGUGAUAAACGUAUAACUGUUUUGCAAUUAUAUUGAAUGCUCAGAUCAUGAGUGUUCAAAAAAUGGAUGAAAAAAUUUGUGUUCUCUACGUGAAUAAUUAAGUUGAAAAGAAUUUUUUAUGUUUUAUAAAUUUAAACAAAUAAGAGGGUUUCUCUUUCUUUGUUUUUUUUUUCAUAAAAAAGUAGAGAAAUAGACGUUCGGGUUAAAGCCAAAAGAAUUUGUUUUUUGAUUUUUAGACACAACUCAAUUCAACAUCCCAAGUUCUAUAGAUAAUUUAACUUUCCAUACAAUAAUUAACGCAACGCUAUUGAUUUAUUGUGUGUCAAACGUUCCUUAAAUUUCAAAUCUAUUCUUAAUUUUCCUUAAUUCUUUAUGAUAUUUCUAUGAAUUUUGCAAGAACAAUAAGAAGGCUUUUUGGUGUGUAGUGUGCGUUAUUAUAGUCUAUGUUUAUGAUGCAAAAUAUUAUAAUUUGUAUUUGAACGGUAGAGUAUAGUUUAUAUACAUAAAUGAAUUCCUUUCCACCUGAAGAUCUUCCUUUCCACCUGAAGACACUUAACCUGAUUGAUUUAAGAUGUCUCGUGUUCUUUAAACUCUGAUCUUUGCAGUCAAUGGUGUUUUGGUUUAUUACAACGAAAACUUCUCCGUAAUUGUUCCAAAGUGUUGUAGAUAUUUUGGUCAAAACAUCUCAUUGUUGGACUUUUGAUCAGAGUCCACCAAAUGGACUUAGGCAUUCACCAACUCAAAGUCCUCACAUUUUGUCCAUUUGUGUUUCCAUCUUUUUCCAUUCACCUGUCAUUCUCAUACAUGCAUGUAUACAUGGUGAACACAUUAUGCAAAAUUAAAUAGCUUCGUCUCAUAUUAUUAAAAAAAAUGUAAAAACCUAAAUAUGAAGUUAAUUAGUUGAAUCAAACAUGUUCAUUACAAAAAAUGAAGUAUAAAUAUUUGAUAAACGUCUACUAUGUUUGUUAGAUGUAAAGCUAGAGGUCCUUUUAGUAUCCUUGCAAAAACUAAAAAAGAAAGCUAACUUAGAUCAAAUCUAGAAUCUCUGAUGGUUAUUCUUAGAUCCUAAGGCAACUCCCUCCGGGGUCAGCUUGAUCAAGACUAAGUGAAUGAAUUGUUUUUUAACAUAAAAUAUAAAACAAAAUUUGAAAAGAUAACACCAAAAGGGUUGAAUAAGCACAAACAUUUUAGUAUUGCUAUUCUCCCUUUUCAAGAGUAUUACAAAACCAUUUUAUAGGCUAAAUGGUCAUGCGUGGGGUGAAAGCCAAAAGUCACCCAAACACUUAAAUGUCAAUUGAAGAAAAUACAUGUAUGGGGUGGAAGCUUAAGUGUCAUCCAAAUACACUUAAAUGACAUUCGAAGAAAAUAAAGACAUAGGAACUUAAAACAAGAUUGCAUACUAAAUUAUAGAUCAAACUGAAAAACUAAAAAUGUAGAAUGUCUUCAAAACGCCUCAAAUAACUCCUUUAGAAGGCUGCAAAAUUGAUGUGUCCAUUUGACAUGGUUUGACAUCAUAUUUUCCCAUGUAGUGCACAACAAACAGCAACUUCUUCACAAAAUCUGCACAUUUUUUUGUCCUACAUGCCAUCUUUAAUUCAUUCUUAUCUCAACUCAUUGAACUAACAUUAUAUAUAAUUUGACUCAUUUUCAUCUUGAUAUUUUUUAUAGCUACCAUUGAUGAUAUUCUUCUAUUGCCAUCACUAAUAAUAUCUAUGAUGAUAGCAAUAGAAGGAUAUUACUGAUAGCAUUUAUAAGUAAUAUCUUUAAUAUGAUACUAUAUAUCAAUGAUAUCAAGGUAAGGUUACUAUAAAGUGAUAUUAUGGUUGCUUGUUCGUAAGAUAAAUUGAUAAAUAAAAGAGAUUAGAUUAGCAUCUUAUCGGUAAUAGCUUUGAAUCACUAAUAACAUAAUAUUCAUAUGAUAGCUUCUAUCGCUAAUAAUAUAAAUGAAAUUGAUGUAGUUGCAAUAUUUGUUGAAAUAAAUUAUUAAUUUUUAGGUUAUGUUAUCAAUAUUUAUAUGAAAUACAUAUUGAGGCAUUAGGCAUAUAUCAACAAGGAGGCUGAAAGGCAAAAUUGUUAGCUUGUGGUAUAGAUAAUAUUUAUUUUCUUCGAAAUUUCCAUUGAAAUUAGCGGAAGGGCCCUCCAUCCUAGAAGUGAGCCUACAGGUAGAGAACUCCUAUGGACUUCAUGGGCCGAGGGGAUUUGUUCAAUGAGGUUUGGCCCAGUCCAAUGAUGAGGCUGACUUUACAGUUUCCUGUUUCCACUGUACUUCACCACCUCUCUAUUCCUUCAUCCACAUUUGAGCUUUUUGCUCUCAUUUUUCUCUCUACCUCUCUCUCUCCCCCGCGUACAGGAGAGAGCAAAAUCAAUCAUCCAUGGCGAAGCUCACCUCUCUCCUCAUCUUCUUCUCUCUUCUCUCUCUCCUCUUGCUCUCUCUUUCACCCUCUUAUGUUCUUGCUGACUCCCACUUUGAAGGAUUCGAACCAGAACUCGACGACCUCGAAGAUGACGAUCUUUCACUUCCCCUCACCGAUCUCCCCCUCCGUCCUCCUCCUCUUACCCAGUCCGAGCCAGAACUCACCGGAAUUUCUUCUCUGGAUCAAGAUUCUGAUAAACCGGAUCCAGUGGGCGAGCCGUCGGAUCCUCAAUCUCCACCCUCUGUCUCCGAUUAUACGAAGCCGUCUCCAACUAGCUUCAAUUACUGGGAUGAGGACGAAUUUGAAGGUUUGCCGAUUGAGCAACCACAAGAACCGGUACAACAGAGCUCCAAAUCUACGGAGGAUUCAGCCUCCACCAAUCCGAACUCUGAUUCAAAACCUACCUCUCCGAUUCCCAAACCUACGAAUGCUCCGAAGUCGUAUACUGUUGAAAUUAUCUGUGGAUCUUUCUUGGUGAUUUUUGUGAUAAACUAUUUUACCGGAAAGCGCGAGAACGAGAACAUUGCUCUAUCUUGGGCUGCGAAAUUCGGGACCAAGGACUCCAUUUUUGAGAAGAACUUUAGUCUGCUGGGCGUGGGGGAAGGCGAAGACUCGCCUUUGCUGUUGAAAGAGGGACAGAAUGUCUUCAAAUUCUAUGCUAGUGGGCGAAGGUAUUGCCAGGGGCUUUUGGCGACAAUGGAGUUGAAGAGCCGACAUGAUUUGAUCUCGAGGUUGUAUAAUAUGGUGGUGCCAUGUAAGGAUGAAAUUAGCUUCGAAGUCUAUAUGAAUGAUGAUGCGAUGGAUCAUAUUAUCUUUGCCGUGGCGAAGAAGAAAGCUGCCAAAGGAAUGCAAAAGGAUUUGAGAGAUUUGCAAAGAUUUGCCGGGAUUUUGGCGCCUCCCAGAUGGGUUCCUGAAGAGUUGAGCGUAAUUUCUGAAUCGAAGGAAGUCGCUGCAGAUUUGAUCACAGAGGCCGUUCUUGACCAGGUUGGUAGAUUUUCGUUUCACUGUUUCAGAUAACUUCCUUUAUCUUAUUUCGUUUCGCUGUUUCAAAAACGUUUUGUUGAAUGGGUGUUUGCAAAAUCUUCUGAUGUCUGAUUUUUCAGUUAAAAAGGUUCAGAUAUGUUGUUUAUUUUCAUGAUAUUUAUUUAUUUUAUUUUAUUUUUUGCUAAUCGUUUAAACUUUAUAUUAUCUGGUGAUCUCGCGUUUAAAAUGUAAUCUUUCUGUUUACUUUUCAUAUAUGUUAGUUUUUGUAAGGAUCAAUUUAUAUUUACUUAUCUAAAAAAUUGUGAAAUUACUUAUGGUAUUAUACAACUGCAUGUUUGAUUAUUCACUCUGCAUAGUUGGGUUUGGACUGGGGCAUAUUUUCUUUUAAAUUAUAUUUCUUUGUGCAUUUGGAUUUUUUUUUUGGAGGUUUGCUUUCAUAACCCUUUCUGUAGCUUUGGAAGUUGAAACCAAUCACACUUUUCAAACAAGUUUUUAUAGUGCUUUCAAUCUAGUUGGUGCGUUCUUUGUAGGAAUUCUUAUGCUUAUGAAGAUUAGAACCAUCUGUUUUGGCAAUGCCUUUUCUCGACCUUGGUUGGGCAUCCUUUCAGUCAGUUUGGCCCUGAGUCAAGAGAUUGAGAAUGCCUUAGCUUAGGGGGUCCCUUUUUUUCUUAUUGGCUGAAAUUGGCGCUGAUUAUCUCUCAAUGAAACGUGUUUAUUCAUAAACAACCACAGCUAAAAGGACUUUGUUUGAGGUAUAGUGGACUUAGGGUUUUGAAGAAGUUUUGGCUCAAAUCAGACAUGAAAUUGCUACACAAGUUUCAUUUAGUUGUAGAUGGCUUUGUUAUUUUUUAGUGGUGAGGAUUGUUGCAGCUUUUAUUUCCCUAGGGUGUCUUGGAAACGUUUAUUUACUAAAGUACUGUGUACCAAGGAUUAUUUACUCUUGGAUCCGGACUCGUAUUUGCUUGGUUAGGUACUCAAUCCUAAUCAAUGUUUGGCUGAGAGUUAGGAUCCAUGCUAUGAGUGAUCUUAAAUGGGGGAACCUCUGCGGACGAUCCUUUUCUUGUUGGUGGUGGUUGUCCUAGGCAGUGUUUUUAAAUGCCCAUGGCGCACUAAGUCACAAUGAUGGCCGCCCUCUGGAACCUAAGCGCAAGUCACACAAAAAGGUGUGGGCUUUUUUUGUGAGGCACGUUACAUAUGAAAAUAUUACAUGAAAAAGAAAGGAUAUUUGAAGUGGAAUUAUGAAGAAAAAAGACCCCAAACACAAGAAUUUUUGCAUUUAGGCUUAGUAAACCUGAUUGCUUUAGUUAAUAAUGAAGGAAAACCCUUAAUUAUUACUAUUUUUUAAAAGUAAUGAUAAAGCCCCAAGGCCCAAGGCCCAAGGCUUUAAGCCUUGGGCGCUUCACAAAAGCCUAGGUUUGGCCCGAGAAGGCUUUUUAAAACACUGGUCCUAAGUAGGAUCAUUUUGAAAGGAGUGGCAUCUAAAGCUUUUAAAGGUUUUGAGAUUGGCACUGACAAUCUGACCCUCUAUCAUCUUGCGUUUGUUGGUGAUAUCAUUUUCUUUUGCUUCGAAAAUGAGGAGUCAUUUGAUAAUUUAGAGAAUUACUUGGUAUUUAUUGAAAUGAGUUCGAAUGUCAACUUCUAGGUUUAAAUUGUGGUCUUGAUAAGAUUCAUAGGUAGGCUGCUUUGGUAGGAUGUGAAGCUAGUUUGUUCCUUCAUAUCUUGGCCUCCCUCUUAGGCAUAAUCUGACUAAUGUUUUUUGGGAACCCAUGUUGUGGAUAAGAUUCAAAGAAGGAUGGCAACUUGGAAACAGAGCUUUUUCUCGACAGGGGGUCAUCUAACUCUCAUCCCGUCGAUUUUGAGUGGGAUUCCUUUCUACUUUCUUUCCCUCUUUUAAAUUUCAGUGUUCGUAAGUAAUGCCUGGAAGAAAUUGAUGAGGCUGGAUAGGCAGAGUGUUUGAAACUCAUGGAUUUUGGAGGAAUUACAGGAAAGCUGAGAGCAUGUAAGCAGACCCUUCUAGCUAAAUAACUGGCAGUUUUAACAAACUUGAUGCUCUUUAACGUGAAGUUAUUGCAAGUAAAUUUAGUCUGUUCCAUGAACUCUAAAUGGGGUUAGUGUUCUAGGUCUCCUUGGGGUCAUUUCAUUCCUUGCUGAAUUGGGGAGGGGAGAGAGAUGUUUUUAGGAAAGAUUAGUGAUUCGGUUACGACCCUUUUGCUUUGUUUUUCCUCAUAUUGGUCUUUUUUAAAGAAUGUAUCUUAGGCCAACAUUAUAGCUCAACCAUCCACCACUUUGGGGUUCUGUCAUUUCCUAUCUGAUAGGGAAAUAAGGGAUCCCCUUUCAUUCUUAGGAAGUUUCUGUGCUUUGUUGGGAGAAGGGUCAUUUGCUUUUGGAGCCCUAGUCUUUCAAAGAGCUGUUUCUGUCAUUCAUUUUUCCUUUUGUCUGGUUAACCCUUCUCCUUUGAGAGAUUUAGCUUUUUCCUUGAUAUGGAAAAUAAAAAUUCUCGAUAUGGUGAAGUUUUUGUUUGGUAGGUUCUUCACGUGGGGGUGAACAUCUUAGAUGGGGUGGUUAGCAAGAUGCCUAAUUUGAUUUGGGCAUGGUGUUAUAUUCUUUGUAGAAGGGUAACAAAGAACCUUGACCAUAUCCUUUGAAGUUGUGUCUUUGUCUAUGUGGUAUAAACUUCUUUAACGAGCUUGGUGAGUUGGCUAGACAUCUUGAUUGCAUACAGAUGAUCGAGGAAUUUCUUCUCCACCUUCCUUUAGUGAGAAAGGAAAGUUUUUUUUAAAAAAUUAAAAUUUUUAUGAUAUCAAACAACUUUCAUUGAGAAAGAAUGAAAGAAUACAAAAGGCAUACAAAAAAAUCUAGCUCGCCAAAACACCCUGACUGAUAAAAGGGGGGACCAACAAAGUAAAAUGUUACCGUUGGAGUAAUUACAAAAAUGCUUCGAAAUUGAAGCCUAAAGGUAAACAUGAAAUCUAGCCAAGACCAAAUCUCACUAUACUCCCUCUCUCUACCCCGAAAGAUCCAAUCAUUCUCUCCCCAAAUGUCCCAAAUAAUGGCACACACCCCGACCAUCCAUAAAAGUCCCCUUUGUCUGUGAAAGGUUGAUGGAGGAGGGACUUCCCGAUUGUCGCUCUGACACUCCGAGAGCCAGAAAAACUAACACCGAACUCUUGAAGGAAAGAACUCCACACUACUGCCCGCAUGUAAUGGCAUUCCCAAAACAAAUGAUCAAGUCUUCCUUUGCCUUCCGACAAAGCAUGCAACAAAAUGGCCCGACAAGCAAAGUCCUCCUCCUAACAAACCUAUCAACAGUGUUAACCCGACCAAGCAAGACUUGCCAAAUAAAGAACCUAACUUUCAUAGGAACCUUAGUCUUCCAGAUCACGUAAAAAACCGACUCCAUAGGGGGAGAGGGAUCUAACAAUAGACUAAACAAGGAUUUACACAUGUAACACCUACUAGGAUUAGGAUCCCAAAUACAAACAUCCCUUCUCCCAUCUUAAAGUUACACCCCUCAAACAAAUAAAGGAGAGAGGCCUCCUUUGUCGAUUCCCUAUUGGUCAAAUUAAGAUAGAAUACGAAGGAAAAAGACACAUGGGUUUCUCCAAACUAACCAGACAAUCUGAGACCAUACAAUUUCUGAAUGAGGAUAAAUGAUAAAGAUGCGGAAAUAAAGAGCAAAGUGUAUUCUCCCCUACCCACUGAUCCUCCCAAAAAUACGUGUCCUUAUCAUCCCCCACAAAGCAACGAGUAAACUGAGAGAAAGUAGAAAGCUCGAAGAAAAUAUCCGUUCAAGGAUUUUGGUGUGCCUUUAACGAGAAAGUAGAAAGCUUGAAGAAAAUAUCCGUUCAAGGACAGUAGUUCAACGAGUAAAUUGCGAGAAAGGAAAGUUUUUGGGACAAGUAGGGGUGUGCUAUUUUAUGGGGAUUUGGAGCGAGAGGAACAAUAGAAUCCUUUGAGGGAAUGAUUCUUUUUUAUGUUUUGUCCUUUGAUAGAUUUCAUGUUACUCUGUGGGCUUCGUGUACAAAGCUUCUCUAUAAUUGUGAGCCUUGAGCGCUUUUUUUUCCUUCUAGUCUUUACUUUUUGCCAUGCAACUUGCUGUCUGCAUUUCCCUAUUGAACGCCUACCUGCUCAGUUAACAUGUUACAGUCAGAACUUUUAUUAAAUAUCUUUAUUCCUUGCCGUGGAAUGUGGAAUUUUAAUUUUAAUUUUAAUUGAUUUCUGCAGGUUUUUGGUGAAAAAUCUUUUGAGAAAUUUGGGAAGUAUUUCAUCUCGAUGCACUUCUCGGAUCAGCAUUCGGGCAUGCACAAGAAGAUGCUGUUGUUCAAGUUUGCCCUCCCAGAUGCCAACAACAUGGCAGAUAUUUCUCGUCUAGUAGCCCUUGUGCCCUAUUACAUUGACACUGUUGGACGCUACAAGCUCAGUUCACAGGUAAACUUCAUACACAAGACACACACACAUAUUACUUCGCUCAGAACUUUCUAAAUUCUAAUUGUUGGUGAUGCAGGCCCGCUCGAAAACUGAAGCUGCCAGGUCGAAGGCUGCUCAAGAGGCACACAGAGAGCUUCAAAAUGCAAGGCAAGAAGCACUGCAGAAGAGGAAGGCAGAGAAGAAGAAACUGAUGGAAGAAGCUGAAGCCAAAUUAAGUGCUGAGGCUCUUCGACGGAAAGAGGCGAAAGACCGUGCCAAGCAGAUGAAGAAAGCAAUGCCAAAGAUAAAGAUGAGCCGCACACGUUAGGGACUCAAUUUUUGUCCGAUGCAUCAACCAUGAGUGGCAAAGCAAACUUGCCUCUUCUUCAUCUAGUUUUCUAAGCUCGUUUAAGAGCUCAACAAGGGUUCCUGGUUUCAUUGCAAAUUUUGAUGAUCAGGGUAGUGGACCGUGUACUUUUAGAUUGCAUUACACUAGCUCGUCAUCCCAUAAUAACAGUACUAUAGAAACUAGCUUUCGUUUUUUUUGCUAAAUUAAUUCCCUUUUUUUUCUCUAUUUUAGUUCUCUACCUUUGGUGGCCUUUUAGUCAUUGAGAACGAUCUGGUUGCAUAGGACUUUUACUGAAGUGUAAUGUUGAAGUCUUACUCCAAUGGUGAAUUAUAGACCUCUUUUGAGACGAUCAGAUGGUUUGUUUUCUUUUUACAAGUUUUGUCAAAGGGAUGAAUAGAAUCAAUUUUGCUCUUUUAAGGUAUUGCUUGGUGUUGGGACUAGGAUUUAUUGAUGCGGUCAACACAAGCAUAUUACUGUCCAUAUUAAUUCAUUACACCAAACUUCCAACUAUGAACUACAAAGAUGUAGUAUAGCUUUAAGUUUGAGGUCGAAUUCAAGAGCAUUGAAUUAAGUGCUUUUGUCUACAAUAAAAUUUUUUAUUUAUAAAGGGAGUUUUGUAAAGCUGAUAUUGUAAGAAAAUAUAUGUACAAGAAAAUGAACUUGUUUUUGGUUUAUGAAUUGAUAUUUAGAACGCCCAAAGAAUUAAAGAUUUUCUCUCAAUAGAAUGAUUGAGAAUGAGAAACUUAGGUAACUUUCUAUCAUUCAAUGAAAUCAAGAAAAUGUAAAAACAAUUGCAACCGACAGCAAACUAGAGGAUUAAAUACUAAUUACCCUAAAUUCAUGAACAGGAAUUACUUCACAUUCAAUCUAAAUUCUUUCUAUGCAUUUUCAUCUAAGUAAUUUUCAUGCAUAUUCUAAUUUUUCUUUAAAUUCUUAGGAUCAAUGUGAUAAUUUCAUGCACGGAAUGCCUACAUAAAAUAAUAUUGGUACUAGUUUAAUUCAACUAGAUAAUUCUAGAAAAAAAUUGAAAGAGAAAUGUUUAAAAUCAAUUCAAGAUUCACAAGUUUUUCAACUUAAUCUAAAGAAUUGUGCUUAGCAUCAUUAAAUUUAAACAAGAAUUCAAGUUCAAUGAUUGAACUUUGUCAUUUAGACAAAAAAAUCAAUACAAGAUCGAGCAUGAAAUUCAAAACAAGAUUUGCAAUCGUUCAUCAUUCAAAGUGAAAGUUCUCAAGAUAAUACAUCUAAAAUCUUAUUCCCAAUAAAAAAUACCUCUAGUUCUUUAUCUUUCUAGUUAAAACUUCAAGAAAUUUGAUGAACGUCGAAGUAAUCUUCAAAGAGAUUGUAGUAUUUAAUUCAUCUGAUGCAAUUUCUAAAUAUGUAACGUUGCAACACUAUGGUUACUAAAACCUUUUCUUCAUUUUUGCUCUAAUUUGCUUGCUUUUCUCGUGAUUUAGCUUGUUUUGCAUCGUAAUCAUUCAGGUAGCCUAGGAUGCUUAUUAUUAUUAUUAUUUUUAUAAAAAUAGUAGAAUAAACAUUAAAUUCAUGAGAAUUAUUGGGCUUAGGAAAGUAGUGCUUUUUUUAGCAAUGUCAAAGGUCAUACUUAUGUUUAAAAGCAUGUAAGAUAAGUGUUGUAGUAAGUAAACUCUUGAAGUUGAUAAAAGUUAAGCUUAUUCAUAUUGUGGUUUUCAUCACAUAGUUAAGACGUAUAAUGGAAUGUGGGUUCAAUAUUUAAGUUGCAUUGACUCUUUGAUGUGCCUUGCAGCCUCAUGACAUAAUGAAUUAAAAUUGAUAAAGGUAUUAAAAGUGUAAAAUGUCAAGCCAAGCAUAGAGUUAGUCAAAUUCACCCUAAGCAUUGAGUGUCAAUACACCAAAGAAUAUUGGACACUUCACUCUCCAGUCGCAUUCUCUCUCGAGCUGGGUCAGUAAAAUGGGAGGAGAUGUGUAAACCCUAUACUUUAGGAUCUCUAAGUCUGUUAAAAGUUCUUGUAGUAGCCUGGGUGAAAGAAGUUAAGGAGAAAUCUUAUUAGAAGUGUUAUCAAUAAGUGAUAUUAUUGAGGUUUCAUGGUUUAAGUGACGUAGGUGUCAUGGCAUGCAAAUAUGUAGGUUUUACAAGCAGAAGGUGUGGAGAGAAAACCAUGCAAAUAGAAGGAGUCAAAAUAUUUCCAUGCAAGGUUCACAAUAAAUAGGGUAACUUCAAGUGGUUAGAAUUUUCAUUUUCCUUGUGCAAAUUUACACAAAACAAUCACAAAAAAACCUUGAGUGGGUUCAUUUGUUAAGGCAGGGUUUCCAAACUAAAAAGAGUUGAGGAAGAAGUUCAACUUCUGAGCUAAAGCACCAGAGGUCACUUUUAGACAAGUUUGAGCAGUGUUAGGUUCUUGAGGGGCUAUAGAAUAACACAUUACUUGGAAUCUUAAACUGAAAUUUGGAGGUUGGAUAUUUAAGACAAUUCUAAAAAACUUUGUAGAAGGAAGUUUCUUUUUUGAGAUAUGAAUUUUAAAGUUAUUGACUUUCAAAGUUGGGUUUAGGUUCUACACGAAAAAAGAAAAUCUAGGCAGAGUUGAAGGUUGGCCGAGUGGCAAGAAAGACAAGGCGAGCUGGAUGUUUAAGAUAGGAAAAAGAGGUUAGUAUGGACUUUGGAGCAAGCGAGUAACAAGGCAAGAGCACAGCUAGGCGACGUGAGGUACGCGUCUAGGCCAUGCAACAUGCCUUGUGUGCGUGGAUGCACGUAACACACAAGGUGUGCGACCAUGGGGAACACAACAAGCCCAGGUGUGAGGCUAGCACGAGGUCAAGCUACUCAUUGUCCCAUGCAAGUGCUGAUAACGUGUAUAAACACUCGUUAUUAUAGCCUCUUGUAUUAGAAUAAUGAGAUCAAAACGCAUUCUUUUUACAUUUGGAAAUAAGAUGUAAAAUUAAAUACAAAGAAAAAAAGGACAAGAAAUUCACUUGGCAACAACACUGGUUUUCACUUCAUCAGAAGGUUGAAUAUAUUUCCAACAAAAUCCAAGAGUGCUCCCCAUCAUGUUCAUUAUCACAGCUGAAAUUGCUGGAGGCAAUGCCACCAUUGCUGAACUAAAAUGUGAGGCUGCCAAAACAACUCCCAGUGAUGAAUUCUGCAUCCCAACCUGAAGCCAAAAUCCACACCCUCUCAUUCAUAUAUCUAUGUUUUUCAAUUUCUCGAUAAGUGAAUGUCGUUUUGUUACCUGCAUGGAUAUAGUUCUUCGUUCUCGUUCUCGAAACCCACAGAUAGCAGCUGCUAUAUACCUGCAAAUCAGAGGAAGCUCGUAAGGGUGUGUAGUGAGCCAAUUGACUAAUUUCAUCUUUUAUAACAAUAUUUGACUUCAUAUUCUUCUUGCAAACAAGGAUCAGUAUCUACAACAUAUGAGAAGAUUCUGUUUUGGGAGAAAACGCAAAAUUUCAUCCAUCUUAUGUAGUUCAUCAGUGACUAAGUAUUCAUUUUGGUUCAUUACUUUCAGUAACAUCUCAAAUGAUUUAUAUUGUAAACAAUUUGUUUAGCUUCUGCAUUCGAGCAACUAAGUCCAUUGAGGUGAGGAAAGAGAUGCAACUUACCCGACGAAGAAACCAGCAAAGUGUAAACAAAACACCGAAAGUAUUACUACUCCCAGCUCUCCUGAUAAUAUACUUUUAAGGACUGUCCAUAGAGAUGCAUCAGAGGCCAAUGUGGCACUAACCAUUGACGAUUUGAUACGAAUGACAUUCUCUGAGAAGACACUAAUCAUAAAAAAAAAUAAUCAAAGGUGUGUGAGAGCGAAAAACAGUAAAAGGCUUUUCAUCAAGUUUCCAUGGUAAGCACAACUUAUUGAAGCCAAAAAAAAGAAAAAGAAAACAAUUGUUGAAGAACCGAGACCUGCUAGCAAGCAGCGAGGAAGUUAAAACAGCAACAAGUGGUGCAAAUGGUAACACCAAUUUCACCAGGGAAGGAAAUGCCUUUUGCAAGCAAGAACCUAACAGGAUAGGAGCUACCACCACCUAACCAAAAAACAAGACGAUGGCGAUGACUUAAGAACAUGACUAUGGCUGGAAGGCAAAUGAGGACAUAACUUUACCUGAAGGGUGCUGAGAGAAAGCUGUGCAGCGUCGACUGGAAUAUAAGCUCCUACUAGAAACUUUGUCAGAAAAGGAGUGAAAAUUACGGCUCCUAAAGUUGUGCAUACUGUCAUUACAAUAGACAAAGGAACGUCGCCUUGAGCAAUUAAGGUUACCUGAAAUACUAUUUCAUUGAAGUAACCGUGAACGGAAAACUUAAUCAAUCAACUUAUUGUGAUCAAGGCUGUAAAGUAGGAAAUGCAGUUCAACUGUUGAUGAUUGCAUUCAUAAAGUUUUCCAUAAUGCUUAACUAAGACGACUACUUUGAACACAAAAAUGUGUUACUCAGCCUUAUGGAUGAAAACUCUGUUAAGAAACAUCCAUCUCUCAAAUCGAGUACAAAGAUGCAAUAAAUAAAUUAAUUAGCAGUCAAAUAUCAAGAUGAUUAAUCACCAAUUUCAACUGUAAUAACAACAGCAACAACAAAACUGAGCUAUAUAUUCUUAAUCCAACAUUCGUGUAUAAUUUUUUUGAAUAAACUUUUAGAACAUUUAUAAGCAUCAUCUUCUGGGAAGAAUUUUCAUUAAUUAAGAACAAUACAAUCCUAUUUCUAUCUUUGCGACUAUGAUGUCCGGUAUUAGUUUCUUUCCGUUUUUGUUCUUUUUAAGUUUUUUAUUGACCAUCUGAAUUUUGUUUUAUGUUUUUAGAUUUACUAAGUUCAACAUUUUUUUUAACACUGUUCUUGAAUUAUGUGAUCCAAGAAGAACAUAUUCUGAAAAAACAUUUUUAUGUUUGUAUUGUAUCGAGAUUUUGAAUUCUAAAUUUUAAAAUACAGGAUUAUCUUUUGAACAUUAUUUUAUUUCCUAGUAGGUUGCGGCUCUUCACUCUCUACUCUUUUUUUUUUUUUUUUUUUGCCGUUUUUAGGAGAGAAACAAAAGUUAUAAGAAAUUAAACAGAACAAAUAAGAAAACAGAGAUCAUAGGCAUUAUUACCACAUUGGAAGCAGAUCCUCCAGGACAACAUCCAAGCAAGACCAAACCGAACAAAAGGGACUGGGAAAGUCCCAAAAGUUUUCCGAUCAGCACUGCAGAAGCUGGCAUAAUCGUGUACUGAGCUACACAUCCAAACAAUAUCUAAAACAAAGCAACAGAGUCAAAACCAUCAAGCAUUACCACAAACCCCCGGUUCCAUCCCAUCAAAUCAAAUCAAUAACCAAAAUACACACAAUGUAAACAAAUUCAGAUUCCAAAAACUCACCGAAAGAGGUCUUUGCAUGAACAAAUUAAAUAAAUCCUUGAUCUCUAGAGUAAGCCCCAUGGCCAACAUUAUCAAACCAAGAGAUAAGCUAUAGGAACUCGGCCCUCUCUGCACAAACCACGAGAAGGUCGAGGGUUCGAGGCAAGCAACAAUCCCGCCUGCCGUCACAUAGAGAGGGUAGAGACUAGCCGCCGUGGAAAGAAAAUCGUCCAAACCAGUGGGUUUUGGCGGUGGCGAGGGAGAUGGGUGUUCGUUAUUUUGUUGAACCGAUCGGACGGUGAGUGAUCUGGGCGGCGAGAGAGGGGGAAUUGGGGGUCGGUGAAGGCGGAGAUUAGGGCGGUGGAUUAGUGGAGAAAUGAAGGGGGUGAGUUGCAGAGAAAUCGGAGGCAUUGUGCAGAAUUCUGUGGCUCCGAUUAGUGAAGAAAAGAAGGGGAAUUGAAGGAGAUGAUAGAAAUUGGGUGAAGUGAUGCAUACAAACACGGGUUGUAUUUUGUGAAACGACAAGAUUGUGUUGGGAGAUUAUUAGGAAGCAAGAGAUCGCUAUCAACAAAUUAGUAGAAAUAUUGGUCCAAAGCAAGAGGUUGGAAUUUGAUAGUUUUUCUAACAACAUUUUUUUUCAUCUUUGAGUUCAUUCGUUUUCUAUCACAUGAAGGCUUUGGACAAUUAGUUAAACAAAUUCAUUGCAUAUUGAAAUUUGUUCGUCAGUAAUUCCUCUAUUUUAGAUGGCUUGUGAUCUAUAUGUGUGUGUUUAAUUUUGAAUCUAAUUUUGUUUUCUUUUUAGGACUUCUCUUUGUUUUAUCCUAAAACGAGAGAUAAUGAUGGUGGAAGACUAUGAGGGAGAAACACAGUCUGCAUUUGCCAAUGUAUAAUAAGGUAACUGAAGAUAUGAUUAUUCAAAGUAGACAAAUAUAUAUAUAUAUAUAUGUAUAUAUAAUCAAAUUUUGAAAACAUAUUAGUAAAACACACUCGCCCAGAAAUCAAAGAUCCAAGGGGAGUUUUCUGUUUCCUUUAUUUUGUUCUCGUGUUCUUGUUUUAAAUCUAAUACUUCAGGGACAAAAGCAUGCUUCUAAAGUUGAGUGGUUUGGUUUAGAUUGUUUGCACAAUUUUUGUGUAUUUUUUACCAAAAUUUAAAAAAUUUCGCUUCUCAUAUGCUAAAUUGAGUCUUGCUUGUAUAUUGAUUCAUGCAUGGAUAACCCUUGAGCAUCCCAACUUUGUUUUAUGGUUUUAAUGAUGAUGGAAUGCAUGAAUUGAAUGUAUAUUGAUUCAUUCUUGUUUCCUGAACUAACUAGUUGGUUAUUUGUUCUAUGGUAGAAAGAAUGCAAUAAAAUAUUUUAAUUCCGACUUUAAUUUGAUUGAGAUCAGGACUCUAUUACUUUUAUUGUGCUAAUAUCUUUUUUAAUUACACAAAACCAUUUACUUGCUUUCUCUCUUUUACUUUUUUGCAUUGUCACCACAAAAAACCCAUCUGCACAUCUGAUUAUAUUCUUGAUCUCUUAUUAAAUAUGUACAUGUGUAUUUCCUUAACAUAGAUCCUUUUGGGUUUUACCAUGAACUUACUUUUUGCUACAUUUUUACUAGCUUCUUGGGUUAUGAUUAACUUUGCAUAUUUCUUAAUUAUCUUUUAAUAACACUCCUAUUAACCUUUUGAAUCAAUGGAACACAAGAUAUAUCUAUAACGAGAAGAGUAUAUGUACAAUCAUGAUUAGCCUACUUGAUUAGUGUGUUAGUUUCUUCUACCAUCAAACACAAAUCUCAGUAUGAAUUAGCUAAAUUAAAUACUAGUAAUAAGUUUGCAUGUGAUUUUUGGUUAUAUAAUACACGAUUUGAUUGUGUAAUUUGGAUGAUAUGGAACUUGUUGGAUUUUUGAGAUCAAAAAAUACUUGUGUGUUCAUAGACUCAUUUUCUCUGGAAGACUCAAAAACCAAUUUGCAAACUUGAUUUCAUCCCAUUUCAUGAAGAAUUGAGGGAGAGAAUUUCGAGCUUCAAAGAUAAGCAAUCAAAAUUUUAUUUUCUUAAAUUUUUCCUACCAUGCUUAAUCUUCAAAAUUCGAGUUUUUUAAUUUGAUUCUCUUAUGCUAGCGGGUUAAUUUAACUUUCAAUCUAAUUAAACCCAAACUUCUUCUUCUCUCUCAUCCAAAGAAACCUACUUAGAACAAAAAAAGGAAAUCGAAGGGGAGGGAAAAAAAGGACUUCUUGGAGGAGGAGGAAAAUUAAAGAAGAUUGAGUGAGAAGAAGACUCGCCUAGUGGGUAUAGAUUUGGAGAGAAGAAAAACGGGUUAAUUUUUAAUUUACACUUAUCGUCACUUUUCACCUGACCCACACGAGACCCAAAUCGAGUUGGGUUAGAUAUGUCAUUAUCGGUACAAAACUUAUCUAGAUCAAAUCGGGUCGAUUUAGUUGAAAACUAGACCCAACCAAAAUCGUUUGCACCUAUAUAAUCGUGUGUCAAGUUUACCAACAUCACUAUAAACGAGUGCAUACAAGAUCGACAAGUAUAUCAAUAUAUGAGUGAAGUACAUAAGUAUAUCAAAUGUAUCAAGUGUUAUUUGUUUUUAUGAAUGGUUUGAGCAUUUGCGACAUUUUAAAUUUUUAUAUGCAAGUUGAGCUCUUUUUUCUUCUUUUAUCAUUUUUAAAAACAAAGCAGGUAUAAUUAUGAUUAACUUUUCUUAUUUUCUUACCAACAUUUUUUAUUAUAAUCCACAAACUAUAAUAAUCAAUUGGUGGAUCCAAGAACUCCAAACACUUCCUUAAGCCUUAUUGAAAGUUCAUGAACCAAAAUUAGAAGAGAAAGAAGAAACGAAAAAACAAGGGAGAGAUGUAAUUAGAUGAGAAAGGAGAGGCCUGCAGUUUUGUAGCCAUGGAUGUCAGUUCCAGCCCACCCUGAUGAAUGAAAACAGCCGUCAAAUUAUGAUCAUCAAUCAGAUCAAUGUCCGAUGUAAAGCCCUACCUUUCAACUUGCUUUUUGUAGAAGCCUAUAAGUUAAAGCUUUUAGUAAGGGCUGGGUUUCCCUUCCUCAAAUUGGUAUGUCAAGUUUUUUAUUCCAACUUGAUUUAAUAAUUGAAUUCUUGUUUUUAGUGAGCAGAAGGCUCAAUAUUUCUCCAAAAAGAUCCAAGACUGCUUCCCAUCAUGUUCAUUAUCACAGCUGACAUUGCUGCUGGCAAUGCCACCAUUGCUGAACUGAAAUGUGCUGUUGCCAAAACUACUCCCAAUGAUGAAUUCUGCAUCCCUACCUGAUCAUUUUUCAUUUCAUAUUUUCUAUUUUAAUUUCAAUUCUUUUAUCCAAAAAGAAUAAAAUAAAGAAGGAAUAUAAUGUCAUUUGAGUUCUUAUUCAUAUACCUCAAGGGAUAUAGCUCUUCGUUCUCGUUCUCGAAACCCUCCGAUGGCGGCUAUCGUGUAGCUGUAAAAAGAGGGAAAAAUGAGAUAAACACACGGUUGCUAAUAUGUCAAUUCAUUGUUUACGAUAUUAGCAUUGAUUUUCAAUUGACGGGGGCUCCAUAUUAUGUAUAUAGCUUAAUCAUUACUCUAGAUAGGGUGAACUAUUUUUUUGGCCGAUCUAAUGAUAUAGCUUGAAUUGUGUUUCCCAAGUGGCCUAUAAGUUUAGUUCUAGAACUUAACUAGGAUCUUAUUCCUCUUCUUGAAUCACACUUGGAACUCUGAAUUUAAUUUUCAAUCAAAUCUUUAGUUUUGAUCAAUGUUACGUCGAAAAAAAAUAUAACUGACGUUUGAAUUAACAUGAGAGCCGUAAUUGAUGAACUAAGAUCGUAGAUGAUAUAUGAAUGAAACAAAUUCUAAUUUAAAAUAUGUACAUAUAUGUUAAAAAAUCUACUUAUAAAGGUAUAUUACUCUUCAUACUAACGAUAUGUGUAAUUAGUUUCUGUUUGAUAGCACAAUUACAAAAUUAAAUUACUGCUUCAAAGGUGAAUAAAGUGAUAUUUUAAAUUUUACCAAAAUUAAGUCAUUUUUAUUUAACUUCUUACAAUAAAAACAAAAUUCAGAACUAAUUUUGAAAAUAUUUCAAAAACUAUUUGGAGUGUGUCAACCCUUCAAUGCUUUUUCAAAAUGAUCUAUUUGCAAAAUUUACAUUUCAAAAGUUAAACGAAACUCAUAAUAAAUAUGGAUUUAUUUCACAUAUAAGCUUGACUAUUUUUCUGCUUAAUUCCCAUUUUACUCUCCUUUGAUGAGUACAAGUUUCAACUAGCUAGUUAAUUGAUCUCUCCAACUAUACAAGUCAUCUUACAAUUGUUAGGUCUUCUAAGCAUUCACACAGCCAAAUUCAUGUGCGGACAAAGAGAGAAAGAGAUGGUGACGACUUACCCCACGACGAAACCAGCAAGGUGUAAUGAAAACACUGCAAGUAUUACAAUUCCCAGCUCUUCAGACAACAUCGUUUUUAUGGCAAUCCAUGGAGAUGCGUCGAAGCUCAACGAUGAACUAACAAGUGACGAUUUGAAACGAACUAUAUUUUCUGAGAAGACACUGAUGAAAAAUAAAACAAGGAUAAUUAAUGAAAAAAAGUGCACAAACAAUUUUAAAAAAUGAUAAAAAAUUUAAGAGAAAAAGAAAACCUGCAAGCAAGGAGUGAGGAAGUUAAUACUGCAAAAAGUGGUGAAAAUGGUAUGAUUCUUUUCACCACCCCAGGGCAAGUUUUCUGUAAGUAAGAACCUAUCAAAAUAGGAACUACCACCACCUGUCAAGAAAGAGUUAAAACUAUAUAAAAUCAGUUGACGGUAGUUUGACAUUCUGUAUAGAAUAAGUUUUCGUAAAAGUAGUUUUAUAAUUUGUUUGACCUGAAGAGUACUGAGCGAGAGCUUUAUAGCGUCGACGGGAAUGGAAGCACCGACCAAUGUUCUAGUGAGAAAGGGAGUGAGAACUACAGCUUGGAGAGUGGUGCAUACUGUCAUUAUAAUAGACAAAGGAACAUCCCCUCUAGCAAUUAAAGUUACCUGAAAUAUGAUUUACUUUAACCCUUUAAAAUUAAUUUAAUAUUUUAGCUUACACACCACAACUUAUCUAUGAUAAAAUUUAUUCGUGAUAGACUUCUCGGUUGCUUAUAUGGUUUUUAGUGAUUACUACUACAAAUUUGACCUUCUUUGAUAUAUGCAAAAUACGUCAAAAAAUGUCUACUACAAAUUUGGUCUUCUUUGAUAUGCAAAACACAUAAAAAAAAUGUGUACCGUAGGCAGAUAUCAAGAAAGCCUGAUCAUCAAGAAAACUAGUUUAACAUGUAAUAAAAACUUAUUCUUUUUUUCUCACACCCACCUUAGGUGAGAAUUGUCCCUAACAAUUGUAACAUUGAUGACCAAAUUUAUAAACCGCUUCUACAAAUUUUUAAUACAGGUGUGGGAAUUUGUACCCGACACUUCUUGUCCAUAGAUAUAUACAUGUGUCAGUAGAGCUAAGCUUAUAUUCUACAACUUAUACAAAUUUUAAAAACUCUAAAUUACAAAUUUUUAAUUCAACUCAUUAAAGUUGAACACACAGUGACUAAUUUAGUUUUCAUAAAGUUACUUAUUUCAAUCUAAUUAUGAUUACAACAGUUAACUUUUAAAAAAGUAAUAUUAUAUUAUAAAUGUAUAGACAUUAAUAAUUGAAAAAAAAAUAGUAAAGCUUUAAGAAUACUAUUGAUGAAUAUUGUGUUUUCUGAGUCCAUUAUCGAAGGUCCGAAUUUCGUGCUUACUAAAAAAUAGUAUUUCGUGCUUACUAAAAAAUAGUUUUUUCAUGAUGGACAAUGCCUAUCAAAAUAUCAUUUUUUAUGAGUCUUGCCCACGAUCUUAUCCUAAAUUCAGAAUUAAAAUUUUUUAAUUGAUGGACAAUGUCCAUCAAGAUAUCAUUUAAUUUUCUUGAUGGACUUUGCCCAUCAUUUUUUUUUUGUCUUUGUCCAUCAAGAAACCCUAGACCCAUCAAAAAAACUCUGAACACAUGAAAAAAAUCCAAAGCAAAUAUAUUAAUUUUUUUCGAUGAUGACCAUUGCAAAUCAAGAAAAUUCAUUCCUUGAUGGACAUCGUCCAUCAAGAAAACCUAUCUACUUGAUAAAUAUUGUCAGUCAACUAAUAUACUAUUUUUUAUGUUUAUUGUCCAUCGAGAAAUAAUUUUAUUAAAUAAGGUGAUUUUUUUUUACGUACAUGACCGUUAAGAUAAACAUUGUAUCAAGAAAAAUAUGGUCAUUUGUCAUGACCAUCAAGAAAUAAAAAAUUUGUGUGUGUCAAGAAAGACCAAAUUUGUAGUAGUGAAUAGAAAAAUAUUUGCAACAUGGUCUAUUAGUAAUGUAUUUGUAUUAUUUGGUAGAAUUUGAGAUAGUCGGUUAUAUUUGAAUUAAUUUUUAAAAUGAUGUCAUAUAUUUAAUUAUUUUAAAAGUUAAUAAUAUUAUCUCUUGUUUUAUUUUAUUUGAAAAUUUUAGUUGUCUUCUUGUCACCCUCAUUUUUUGAAAAUUUUGAAAUUAUAUUUAAUGUAUUUCAAUUUUUUGUUGGGUAACAAAUAUAAUAUACCCAAACAAAGAGUAUGCUCAGAAAAAAAUAUAUUAUAAAUCGUUUAAUAAAAAUAUUAAUUACAUAAACAAACAACAUAGAGGCCAAAACACCAAUCCCAUCCUUGGAAAUUGAGAAUUGAGGGAAAAAGAAAAUAAAGAAAGAAGAGAAGGACAAACAAAUUACCACACUCGAAGCGAUCCCCCCCGGACAACAUCCAAGCAAGAUCAAUCCCACGGAAAGCGCUGGCGCUAACCCAAGAAACUUUCCGAUCGCUGCUCCCACCACCGGCAUAAUUGUGUACUGAGCUACACAUAAAUAUAAUAUCUGACCACCCAAAGAAAACAAAACGAUCAACGAACUCAUAAUCAUUUUCACAAUGGAGAAUAAUCUAUGUCGAAAAAUGUUAUUCCAAAUCACCAUGCACCCUACUUUUUAAAAAAAUCAAAUUGCUACCUCACAGUCUAUCAUUGGAGCUAGCCCGCAGCUUGGGAUGAAGAAAUGGGUGUAUCUAUCUAAGAGAAAGCUUCAUAAUUUAUAUUGACUUUCACAUACAACUUGAUAUCUUAUAUGAUAUCAGAGUCUGUUAAAUCGAAGAAUAGCAUUUCAAGAGAUAAUUUUCUUUUUUAUAUAAAAAAAAAACUCACAGAAAGUGGCCUCUGCAUGAAGAGAUUGAACAAAUCCUUAAGCUCAAGAGUGAGUCCCAUGGCCAACAUAACCAAACUAAGAGCCAAGCUAUAGGAACCCGGCCCUCUCUGCACGAACCACGAGAACGUCGACGGUUUCAUGCAAGCGACAAUGCCACCACUUGUUAUAUAAAGAGGGAACAGCCCCGCGGCGGUCGAAACAAAUUUCGCCAAACGGUCAGUUUGUUUUUGGGGCGGUGGUGGCAGUGGCAGAAGCUCCGUAUCUCGUUGUAGUGAUCGGACGAUAGCGAGGUAUCCGGGUGGUUUCGGGGGUGGGAGAAGAAGAGGGUUGAGCCGGAGGGGCUUGUAGAAAUGACGACCCUGGUGCAGAGAAGGGGAAAAGAAAGGGGUAAACUGAAGAGAAAUAGAAGACAUUUGAUGAAUAGAGAAUGAGAUGAAGAGAAUAAUGGUUUUGGUUUUGUUUGUGUGUUUUCCCAAAAUGAAGGAUCAAAUAAAUAAGUACAUCACUCCCUCAGUAUUUCUGUGUGAUUCUCCGAUCAUGCCUUUGUAGUUUUUGGCCUCUUCUGCCCAAUUAACUUUUUUACAUUUCACUAUAAAAUCAUAUCUUAAUUUAAUUACUUAAUCCUAUCAUUUCCCUUGUCCUUUAUCAAAAUUAGAUUAUUGUCUUAUUUAAGACGAAUAAUGUAGGUGGGCUAAAUUGAUUACAAAGAGAUAGAUGAUAGAGACAUUUUAAAAAAUAAUAUAAAUUAACAACAAAAAUUUAUUUUGAGAUUUAUUAAAAGUAUGAAAAUUAAGUUUAGGUACAUGGAAGACUUUCAUAAUAAAAUACAAUAACUUCUAACUUAAGACUAAAUUAGUUGCAUUGAACAAUAUUUAGAAUAAUAUUACAAUUAAUGUAGAAAUGAAAUAUUCAAAUCUAUUAUUUAAGAGUCAUGCUUUAAUCAUCCAACUAUAUUAUUAUUGUUUUUUAUUUUAAAAAUAUUUCAAUAUUUAUCUAAGUUUUUUUUUCUAUUAAAUAUUUAUAUUUUGAGUUGACUUUUAAAAAGUAAUUGUAAUUGAUGGAUAUUUUUGAAAUAAUAAUUAAGGAUAUAUAAAUAUUUUUAAAAAUUGUAAAUAUAGCAAAACUAUCGUUGAUAGACUCGUAUGAUUUAUCAAUAAUAAACCAAUAUUUACAAUAUAGUCUAUCGGUAAUUGACUUGUAUCAUUGAUAGAAUUUGACAAAUUUUGCUAUAUUUGUAAAUUUUUUAAAAUGUUGUUAUAUACUCAAUUAUUUUGAAUCUAAUUGCUUAAUCUGCAACUACCCCUCUAAAAACGUAAAACAUUUUGACAUAUAAAUGAGAAUCUUUAUUUUUUCUUAUAAACGAUUUUUUUUUUCACAUUUAUGACAUAUAAAAUAUAAACAAUUUUUUCAUACUUUUUUUAUUAUUUAGGUCCAUAAAUUUGGGUUGCUAAAUCUUAACAAAUUUUUAAAAAUUUUUAUUUAGAUUUCAGGUUUAAAUUUGGGGUAGCUAAAUCUUAACCAUUUUUUAAAGAUUUUUUUGGUGUUGUUUUUAAAGAAACGAUGAAAAGAAUGACAAACCUAAAAUAUUUAAAUGGAUAGUUGUAAAUUUAGCAAUUAGAUUCAAAAUAAUUAAGUAUAUAGCAACAUUUUAAAAAAUUACAAAUAUAACAAAAUUUGUCCAAUUCUGUCGAUGAUAAAAGUCGACAGACCAUGUUGUAAAUAUUAGUCUAUCACUGAUACUUGAUAGUUUUGUUAUACUUGCAAUUUUUUUAAAUGUUGCUAUAUUCUUAAUUAAUUAUUAUUUCUAAAAUGGUCAUUCGUUUCAUGGAUUUUUUUUUUAUUUUGUUAUACGAACCGUAAAUAUUUUUUCAUUUAUUAUAUUUAUAAAAAUUAAUAAAAAUAUUAUUAUUAGUAUAAUAUGGAUAACUUAAAGUUUAUGAUAUCACUACAAUAUAUAUAUUAUAUUGAUGAAUUUUUAAAUAUAUGGAUGGAUUUUCUUCGAAAAAUAAAUUAUAAUUAUCACAAAAUUUUUUAUAGAAAAAUAGUGCGUACAAACUUAUUUGAGUACUUAACUAUCAAAUUAUUUAACUUAAUUCGUAUCUUAUUCUAUUUUGGUUUAAAUUUCUAUCUGAAUUUCUAAACUUUAUAUCUUAUGUUAUUUAGCUUUCUUGAACUUCUAAAAUUGACUAUUUUAGUCUCUAAAACUUUUUUGAAAAAUGUCCUGCCAUUCAAAUUGAAUAAUGGUAUGACUUUUAUAUUUGGAUGAUUAUGAUCUCGAUAAAUCAUAUUACUUAAAUUGGUACAUAACUAUAAAAAAUAUCUUGUUAAUUUAUUCUAUAAAUUCUUUCAACAAAAAAACUCAAUUAGUACAUUUAUCAAAUAAAUCCAAAAUCUAAUUUUUUUUUUCUUUUUCUUCUCCAAAACACAAAUGUUCAAAUCUCUCACAUCCCCUACUCGGCUUCCUCGUCUCCCUACUAUUCUUCUUUAUAUAUAUAUAUAUAUUUUGGAAUCUUGAAACAAAUGAAAAAAAAACAUUUAGUAUAAUAAAAAAAAUUGACAUAUAUGUGUUUCAUUAUGAUAAGAUAAAAUAAACUAAAAAUGUAAAAUAUGUACAAUUCAAGCAUAAAAUAAACUCUAUGAAAUUGCAGAAAAAUAUUCCCACAAUUAAUCACAUACCCCAAGAAAAAGAAAGAAUCGAGAACAAAAGAAAAGAAAAACACCUUAAUGAAUCACAACAUAACCCAAACUUGAGGCAUUAAAAGGUUUGUAUGUAGAUGAAACUACAUCUAGCAUGCAUUCAUCAAGUAAAGUAAAACGUCAAAACGGCGAGAAUCAAAAUCUUGAAUGCAAAAUAACCUUUUAAAGUUUUUCGAUAAAAUAUCAAUAUAUUUGUCAUGUAUGCCUCUAAUUAAAAAUUAAAACUCUAUAUUUUUAAAAGUGAUUAUCUCAUACUACAAAACAUCGACAUAGCCUGAAAAAGCGUCAACAAAAGUUGUUAACUAACGCCUUCUAAGCAUCAGUAGAAACCAUCAGGAGAGCCUAUAUGGACGCCUUUUUUAGCAUCGGUAUAAACUGUUUAAUAUAAUGUCAACGCAUAAAAAUGGUUGGUUUUUCCAACGUCAGCUCAGAGACGUUGACAAAACCACUCUAGGUCGACACAUUGUUAUGGCCUCGGGGCUUUCUCGACAACUGCAUGUGUAUACAUCGGGGUAUGUUACUUGAUAUACAUUGAAAAUGCUUCCUAAAUGUUACAUAUUGCAUCGAGAUAGACCACUUCUACUAAAAUCCCAAAGCCUAAAGCGCCUUCAUUUUUCCAUAAGAAAUAUUUUAUUUUUAAAAGCAAUAUAUUUCUCUUAGCUUUGAUUGUAGCUAAAUUUAUUGAUAAAAUAUUUACAAACAAUCUAUCUAAAGCAAAGUAUUUCAAAAACAUACAACAACGUUUAUUUAAAUAGUCAUAAGCAUCCUUACAAAAAUCUCAAAACAAAAUAACUUAUAUUAAUUUAGAGUAGCAAAACACAUUAGUCAUAAAGUUUUUUGAACAUAAAAAGAUACCCGAGUUUAACAUAGCACAUAAACAUUGGCCAAAAUAAAAGUUUAACUUAUAUAUAUCUAAACACAUUAUUCAUACAAACCAUAUAAAAAUCGAAUCUCACAUUCUCCAAAUACAACAACAAUUGCAAGCAAUCGUUAACUCGUUAUUCUCAAUUCUUUAACUCGUAUUUUGUUAACACAUACAAAAACAAAAUAAUAACACAAAAGUGAUUGUCCAUAAAUGACAUGAGGAAUGGACAGAAAUAUAGACCAAUCGAUCAAGCAUUAUGAUUCAAAUGCUAUGAAUGUUGAAUUUAAAUAUGGAACCAUAAGAAUAUGUAAACACAAGAAUGAAAACCACAUAAAGUUUCUAAAAAGUGUCCAAGUGACGUUUUCCCUCUCAAAACAAACAAGAAGCAUCCAGUCACACCUACUCUUUGAAACUUUACUUCUCAGGUCAAUACUCUUUGAAACUGACUACAUUUGUUAAAAAUUGCAAAAGCAACACCUUUUAGCACAAGAACUUAGAAGGAAAAAAAAGUUUGAUACUAAGGAAAGCAAGUCUAUCACACAAUAAUUUCUUAACUCACAAUGAAAUCUAGUCUUCAACACAUAAGAUCAACAAGGAAUAAUUUCAGUCAAGAUAAGAACACUCAUCCUUAUAUUGAAACAAAAUUUAAGUUGUUUUGGAAAACUUAAUUACCAUGUGGACUACAUGUGGUGGUAGAGGAACCCAAGAUCAAAGAAACAAAGACGAAGGGUUCUUGUGCACUUUGUAUUCAAACAUGGAUUUCAAAUCAUUUUUGUUUGUUUGAAUGCUUAAAAAUCUUGAUUUUGAACCAAGCAAGAUGGAGAUAGGUUUUAUUUGUUGUAACUAAUAAGUACAUGUUGUUUUGAUUUUUAUUUCUUUUUUAUCUCUGCUUUUGAAUUUAUUUUCUUAAUUUUUCAUUUAAUAAUAAUAACGACUUUAAUUAGUUUUUUAAACUAAAUAAUAUGUUUUAUUAUUACAUACAAUUUAAUUUGAUAUUAAAAUAAUGGGUAACGAUUAAAUAAGCUAUUACAACAUAAAAAGUAAUGGAAUGGAAUAUGUGAAUGAUUAGCUGAAGACGUCUACAGAGUGGUCGAAUUUACAACGUCGCAAUUAAGAAAAUUAAGGCCAAAUGUUGAAAAUGAUUCUUUGUUCAAGUCUCAGAGACACCACUUAAGAGGAUACUUAUCUACUUACCCUAAUGUUGAAAAUGAGUGAAUUACAUUUUAUGUAAUUAUGUUUCCAGCUUCCCACUCGAUUUUGUUCCCAAAAUGGUAAGCAUAUUGAAUCAACAAUUUGGCCACUCUCACCCUUGAAAAUCAAAGGACAAUUCCUUGCGAAUCUUUUUUUAAAAUACUUUCAUAAUUAGGACUAAGUUACCUAGAUCAUUAUAUUGAAAUAGAAACAUAACUAGUAAACAGAGUUAUAUCAACGUGGCGCAAUCUUAUGCAAAUUCAUUGCAUAGAAUACACACACUUGCAUGUCACCUACACAACACGGGAUCAUUGUGUUUAUAUCUGAUACAAAGUGGGUCGUCGCACCUAUAGUGUUACCAAGCUAUGGGACUCAACCUUAUCUUUAUACUAUAGACUCUUUAAUUUGUAUCUUGAACAUUUAUCUUUGUAUGUCUCUACAUACAACUCAAGUCUCAUGAAGCAAUUGAGGAUGUGUUAGUUUAUUGAAUUUAUGUUAAUGAGACAACUAAUAAGAUAAUCAAUAACAUGCAGUUAUUGAAAUUAUAAUAACAACACUUUAUAAUUAACUGUAAAUGAAUUACAUUUAACUUCUAUAAGUUUUAGAACAUAAGACCCAAUAAUAUUAUAAUAAAUUAUAAAAUGAAAUAGUUUCAAAGUAUUAACAUAUAUAACUUCACUAAAAUAAUUUUAAUGUGUUGAAAUCACCGAACAAUAUAAGUCUCAUGGACUGAUAGAAACAUAUCAUUGCAUACUAUUGAUAAAACCUAAAAUUUUAGUGUAUGUAAUCAAAUUCGUCAUUUUCUUUACAAUUCCCUUUUUUUUCUAAUUUUUAAUUAAAAUAUUUUAAAUAAUAUCUUACUUCAUUUCACAACCAAUUUUUUAUAUAUAUUUUUAAUUAAAGCUUAUUAAAUAUAAUUUUGCAAGUAAAUUAUUAUUAUUAUUUAAGAAAACAACAAGAGUGGAUUAUGUCAUUGUAUUAAAAACCCAUUUUAAUUAAAAAAAGAAGGAAAUAAGAAGUAUUAAAAAUAAUAGUAAAAUUUUGUAGUCCCGUGAGCACAGGGAACGUUUGUUUGAUUGGGAACGUGGAAAACGUUACUUUGUCUUCUUCUUCUUCUCUUUAUAUUUCACAUUUAUUUCCAAAAACAUCUCCACCACUGUUGACGUAUUCUCUAAUCUAAUUUUGUUUUUGUUUCUGAAGUCUUGAAUCUUGAAUCUUGAAUCUUGAACCCAACACCCCACCAACCCCCCCUUCCCCCCAUACAUCACGUGCACAUCACCCACUUGCUGCUUCUCUUUGUUAUUCUAAAAACCUACUUUCAUGUUUUCUACUUUUUCUUACAGACAAACACAACCUUGGAUUACUUAGAAGAAUAUAUGGCUGUUUUAAAACAAAAAACAAAUAUUGU
rnacentral:lncRNA from 1 species